rnacentral:lncRNA from 1 species
AGUAGAUAAAGUGCGAAGGGUUUCGUCGUUCCGCUCGUGAUUUCGUCGUCCUCACGUGACCCCCUCAUCCUUUCCGCGCAUCGCGCGGGAUCCUCCUCACCUCUGCCUGUUCUUUUUUUUGUUUUUUUGUUUUUUUUUUCUAACCCUAAGAGUAUCGUAUCUUAUCUCCCGCCGCUCUUCCUCCUGCUCUCCCUUCUUUCCCCUUUGCUCUCCUUGCCCUAUCCGUAUACCUCCAUUACUCCCUUUCCUCCUUCCCUUUACUCUACAACAUCAUUCCCAUUUGCAGAGACAGCGCCGCCCCUCCUCUCCCUUGCCUUUUCUUUUCUUUUUUUUUUUUAAUUUCUGGACCUAAUAUCUGCUUAGCCUCCAUCAUUUUCAUUAGCAAUAGGUUAAUUUCUGCUUUCUUCUGCCAACUCCAUUCAGUUACUCCCUUUCCUCCUUCCCUUUACUUUACAUUCUCUCCCGCCGCUCUUCCUCCUGCUCUCCCUUCUUUCCCCUUUGCUCUCCUUGCCCUAUCCGUAUACCUCCAUUACUCCCUUUCCUCCUUCCCUUUACUCUACAACAUCAUUCCCAUUUGCAGAGACAGCGCCGCCCCUCCUCUCCCUUGCCUUUUCUUUUCUUUUUUUUUUUUAAUUUCUGGACCUAAUAUCUGCUUAGCCUCCAUCAUUUUCAUUAGCAAUAGGUUAAUUUCUGCUUUCUUCUGCCAACUCCAUUCAGUUACUCCCUUUCCUCCUUCCCUUUACUUUACAGCAUCAUUCCCAUUUGCAGAGACAGCGCCGCCCCUCCUCUCCUCUGCCUUUUCUUUUUUUUUUUUAAUUUCUGGACCUAAUUUCUGCUUAGUCUCCAUCAUUUUCAUUAGCAAUAGGUUAAUUUCAGCUUUCUUCUGCCAACUCCAUUCAGUUGAACCCGUUUUCUUUUUAAAGCUUGGUGAUUUUCCUCUUUUCCUUUGAUUUUGCUUUUCUCGUUGGCUUGUGAAGGCCACCAAAUUUCUCAUUCUCUCUUAAAUGUGGUCUCAAACAAGCUUUUCCAUUCCAAAUGUGGGCGGCUCCGCAGAAACCUAAUCCACAGUAAGCUCUUAAACCUUCGGCCGCCGCAGCUUUCUUCUUCUUCUUUUUCUUCCCCGUGCUGCGCUGUUUCGGUACAUUUGGUUCUUGCAAGGAAACAAAUAAAGCACAUGUGCCAUGAGGUAAGAACCAAGAAUAUUUCAAUUUUUGUUUGAAUUAGAGUAAAUUGAUUUUUUGAUUUGAUUAAUCCUGUCCAGGUUUGAAAUGGAUAGGGUUUGGCAAUGUUUAAGAAUCCAUGGCCAGGAUAGUGCCGAGAUUCAUGGGUGUUGUGUAAUCAGUUGAGCCCGUCAGAAUUUGUUGCAAGAGAUCGUCUUGGAGAGGCAAGUGCUUGUUUAUUUUGAUGGUAUAUUGUGGAUUGUAGCUUGAGAUAAUUCUGUACAAAUAGUUCUUUAAUUCAACUAUUUCUUGAUGCUAUGCAGAUUCGAUGUUCGGAUGCUAUUCAUUGACUUUUCGAAGGGUUUCCUGAGGUACAUGUUUUCCGUUUUUGCAUUUCCUGGUCGCAAUAUGGCGACAAUGGUGUUGGGAAUUUGGUCUAAUUUACUGGUUUUUAAUAGCUUGGCCUGUUGCAUUUGGUGGUUUGGUGUUUUUUUUGUUGGUUUCCUCUUCUUUCUCAUUUUUUGCAACAAAUGAAAUGCAUAUUUCAAAUUUUGAGAUCUUGGUUUACUCGUUGUGUGAGGAAAUAAUUAGGUUGAAUGAUUAGUUGCAUUAUCAAUGAAAUAAUUUGGAAUUGUAUGUGGAUAAGUAUCAGUUGAGUUGAAGGUUAGUAAUUAUGUGACCAAUAAUAUUUCCAGUUCAAUGUUCCACUAAUCUACCGCUUUUAGCAGUUUUCUUCGUCAAACUUCCUCUAUCUUUUCUCCCAUUCCUACCUCUCUCAUUCUCCUACUUCUGCUUUCUUUCCUCCCCCUCUCGUUGUAUCAAAAGAUUUUGCUAUGUUUCUAUUUGUCUCAUUUUCUUCCCCUCUUAGAUUUGAGUUCUGUUUUGUUAGAUUUGCUUUUGAUGAUUUUAAAGGUUUCCUUCUCUUGUGCCUUUUAGAUGGUUACAUGAAUUUUGAUUAUUGUUUGUAUUUUUGUUAUCACAUCAUUCUGGGAUGCUUAGCUUCCCUUUUUUUUCUUUUUUUUCUAUAUUUUUUCUUUUUAGUCCAUGGUUUUUCUUUUUCCUCUCAAAUUUUCAACAAAGCAUAUAUGGCCAAAGAAAGCAAAACUGGAGAAGUUGUUGCUUUAAAGAAGAUACGCAUGGACAAUGAAAAAUAAGGGUUGUUGUUAUUCUACCCAAUUUCUUAUUUUCUUAGCUUAUGACAUUUUAAUUUCCUUAGUGGAUGAAUGGUUAUGCCUGCUCUUUUUAGAACACUCAUAAUUUUUUCUUGUAGUUUCCUGUAACUGCCAUGCAUGAAAUAAAAAUUCUAAGGAAGUUGUAGCAUGAAAAUGUCAUUAAACUGAAAGAGAUUGUGGCCUCUCCUGGUACUCAUCCUUCUCCAUAUGUUCAGAGUGGUUAUUUAAUUCAUAAACAUCAAACAUAUACUAUAUGUUUUGUUGUCUUACAUAUAAUAAACUCUUUUUCAGAUCAUGAGGUAGAUAAGCAAGUGAAUCAAGGUAACUAGACGUGCAGAAAUUUUCAAGUUUGUGGUUCCUGUUUCUGUAAGAAUUCAAUGCCCCUGAACUCCCAAAUACUGAGAUCGAAAAUGGUAUUUUGUUUUUGAAAUGUAUAAGGUAAUAGAUACAAAGGCAGUAUUUACAUGAUUUUUGGGUAUAUGGACCAUAGCUUGACGGGACUUGCUGAUUGUCCUGAAUUGAGAUUUACAAUUCAACAUAUCAAUGUAUGUGACCUUGGACAAGGAGGAUUUACUCAUUAUAAUGAGCAUCCAUCACUUUUUUUUUGUCAACAAAGCAUCCAUCACUCAACUUGUUCUAAUAAUAUGUAUUUGUAGUGUUAUAUGAAGUAGCUGCUUACUGUUCUUCACUACUGUCAUCUCAAUAACGUGCAGAUAUCAAAGGUUAACUUUUUUAUUCUUUUCUAAACAUAUUAUCUAGGAUUUUAGGUGUGCAUAUGAUACUAUGUUCUGGUUUUUGGUUUGGCAGGCUCCAGUAUGCUUAUAGAUAAAAGGGAAACCUGAAGCUAGCAGAUUUUGGACUACCAUAAUCAUUCUCCAAUAACCACAGUCCAUGGAUGAUGAUUUUCCCUUAUAGCUGACCCAUGUCUUUGAUAUUAUAACUUAAUUUUCAAUCAAGAAAAUUUACUCAUCUAUGUAUUGAGCAGACCUUCAGAGUUGCUUCUUGGAGCUACGAAAUAUGAUUCGGCAGUAGACAUGUGGUUAGUUGGCUGUAUUUCUGCUGAACUUUUGCAUGAAAAACAAAUCUUACCUAGAAAAAAUGAGGUUAGGCAUAUACCUUGAGUUGUUGUACUAUUUUUUCAGCCUUUUUUUCAUUAUUUUUUAAGAAAAAAGCUGUCUUAUCUUAAUUUUUGAUUUAUCUUAUCUUAUUUAUCUAUCAAGGAAUUUUGAAAGAGUUAAGUAGAUGGUGUUUCGUCUUUUUCUUACAAUUGCUUUUCAUGAAAUGAACUUGGAUGAUUGUCAUGAUUAUUUAUUAGAUUGGUUCAGUUUGUAUGCACUAGAAGAAAGGAUAUGGACCAUUGUUGGCUUUUAGAGCAUCCCAAGUUCACAAGCUUUCUAUUUCAUUUAACUUUUUUAGCACAUCAAAGCUAAAUGAUUACAGACUCUGAAUGAUUACACUUAUUCUUCUUGAAUGAUUUUGAAUGCUUUUGACUGAAUAAAUAGUGUGUGUACAGACUAGGAAUUCAUUGGUUAUUUAUGCUUAUGCAUUUUAUGAUUAUGUUUCUGAUUUUUUGCUGCAGAAUGCUGAACUGAGUGCUCAUGUGGCUAAGCAGUAAAGAGGAAGGAAUCUGUUGUCCUGUGUUAGGCAUUCAUGUCGUUUGAUUAUGAGUGCAGUUUCAUUGGAUGUUUUUUAGUUAAUGUGUAUUAUGUAGUUAUAGUUGUUAGUGGAUUCAAGCACAGAUUCUGUAAUAGCUAGGUUGUUGCCAUUUCAGUUUGUAUAUACCUUACUCUUUUUAUAUGUAUUUAUGGAUCAUGAUGUUUUGUACAUUUUUUGUAUUCCAUGUAGUUAGUGACUUUCUCUGAACAUAUUUUGUUCUAUUUGCUUAGAUAGAUGUUUCUGCUUGAACAUUGGUUGAAUGAUGGUAAGGGUACAAUGUGAAAAUGGUAUAUUAGAAGCUCGGGAAGAUGUUCUUUCCUAGCUCAUGAAGUUGAAACCCACUCAAUCGCUGAUGAAUAGCAGUCACAAUUUGCAAGUGAACAUUGAUCAUAUAAUUUCUGAAGCAUUCUUGAUGGGAGAAAAAGACUUUGGGGUUAAGAAUCAAGAAAUCAUAUAGAGAAAAAGUUGAAAGUAAUGUAAGGCGAGAUUAUAGAGCUUUCCUAAAAUUGAUUCUUUAUUUGGUUCAUUAUUUUUGAAAUAAGUUCAAUUCUUGGACCUCCUUUUUUUUGCACAUUGCUUUUUCAUUUUUUUUGUGUUCGUCCUAGAUUAGAUUAAUAGUUUAAAUAUACUUUCAACAGUAAUUAAUUUAUAAUCAGUUCCACAAUUUAGAUCUUAAUUUUCUUUUUAUGACGUUUGUAUAACCUAUAAAAGUGUUGGGUAUAUCAUAAUUGUUAACGUGUCUAAAAGAAAAUGCCUUCUUAUAUACAAAACAAUUAAUGUCAUUUUUAUAUACAAAAACAAGUAAUGUCAUUUUUAAUGUGAAGUGCCUUAUUGAAUUUCACUUUGUGUAUUUCAAGCUUCUCUGGCCUCCAAAGACGAAAAUUCGUUGAGAAGAUUUUGAGUGCCCUGCCCAGUUUCUUUUUUUUUUUUUUUGAAGUUUAAGGAAGGGAUAUUUGAAGUUUAACGACCGUUAUACAACUUUCAAAAUAAACAAAUUCAUUCUAAUUUUUUGUUUAUAAUUUUAUAAAACAAAUCGCGGUCACUUUCACAAAAGUCAUAUUUUUCCAUAAAAGACCAACUCUUUAUGACUUUCCUCCAUUAUAAGAACAAAGUACCCAUUUUUCCAUAAACAAAGUUAUUUAUUGGAUAAAAUAAAAAUAAAUUCGUUUUUCAAUAAAAACACCAGUUCUUUAUGACUUUCCUCCAUUAUAAGAACAGAGUACCCAUUUUUUCAUAAACAAAUUUAUUUAUCGGAUAAAAUAAAAAUAAAUUCAUUCUCCAAUAAAAUACCAGCUCUUUAUGACUUUAGAAUGAAUCAUUACAAUCUCGCUGUCUCUAUCACCAUCAACUUUUGACUCCCUACUUCUUCCAUCCCACCCAACACCAGAACGAAAAAGAUUUCACAAAAGAUCUAAUCUUGCAUGAAAUGAUCAACUAUAAAGCUUUAUUAAUAUGCCAACCUUUUUUUAAAAUUAAGAAACAAAAUGUAUCAAUAAGAGACAAACAAAUACAAAAUAUCAUUUUGUUAUUUUAAUUAAGAUACAUAUUUAAUAUACGUAGACAGAGCAAAACUAUAAUGAAACGAACAAAUUUAUCUCUCAUUUGUAUAUAAUUAUUUAGAACUUGGCAUAAACAAGUGAUUGCAACCCAAUAAUCUAGGAAAAUUUAUUGAAUUUCACUUUGUGUGUUUCAAGCUUCUCUGGCCUCUAAAGACAAAAAUUCGCUGACAAAAAAAGACUUGUAGAAUACCUAUACUAAAAAAUAUACUUUUCUACAUAAAUUAUUAUUUUGAUUAGUUCAAAACUGGGCAGUGCAUUUUAUAUUUCUAUCGCGUGAAGCGCGUUCAUGCCUCCUAGUUGAGUGGAGAAGGUGAGCACUUUCGAGGGUCUGCUGCUGCUGCUGCUGCUUUUUUUUUUUUUACCCUAUCAAUAGUGGACGUCGACGAUGAUCCGUUUUGCAGAGUUAUUUAUUCAUUUAUUGGGGUGACCAAACGCAAUAGGGGAUCCUCUUGACAUGGGCAUUUCUAUUUAUUAAAAAAGGGGUAAAAAAAUAAGAAAGUCUGUGUAAUAAACCUAUUUUACAGAAGAAAAAUCUCUCGUAAUUUCAAAAUAUACAAUACAAAAUAUAUAAUACGAAACCUCAUACUUUGAACUAAAUUAUAAAGGUGACGGAAUCCGAUAAAUUUAAUGAAAAUAAACGAAAUAACCAAAAUGCCCUGAUAUAAUUAGGCAAAAAACAACUCAAAAAUCAUUUGUUUUAUUCUCUAAAUAGAGAGAAUUGAGGGUUAAAAGGUAGAACAGGUAUAUUUGUUAAAAAUUAGGUACAAAAAUAUUUUUUAAAAUUCCAAUAAGUCAUUUCUGUUAAGUUUAACGGAUUCUGUCACCUUUACAAUUUAGUUCAAAGUACAGGGUAUUGUGUCAUACUAUAGUUGGAUCUCUAAAGCUCAUGUUUGCGUUUAGGGUUUGGGCAUUUCAAUUGUCUGGUCACUUAUUCAAUUUGGCAAAAACACUCAAGUCAAAAUCAAUAUUGAACCCUCUUCUAAUAAUCCCAAUAUCAACGGCUCCGUUUGGAUUUCUCAUUUUUUGAAAAAAUAAAUUUUUCAUAUACAAUGUUAUGAUAAUAUAUACAAACAAAAAUAACUCAAAAAAUACCACAUCCAUACAAUAUAUAAAAAUUAACUCCAAAUAUAUAAAAAAUAAAAAUAUAUACUAUAUUUUCUUCCAUCUAUCACCAUAACCCAUCACCACCAUUCCCCCAUUUCUCCUCUUUCCUUUCCCUCUCUCUUCCUCCUCCCUUUCCCUCCACAUCUCACCUCUCCUCUUCCCCCCCCUUUCCAAAUCUGUCCCUGGCUAGAUCAUGACCAAAAGGAUCGCAAUAUGGUCGUGAUGUCAUAACUAAAGGUCUUGAUUUGGUUUUGGCUAGAUCUAGAGGGGGAAGAAAGGGAAGGGUAAGGAAUGGCGGGGAAAGGGAGGGGAAGAGUGGAGGGGAGAAAAAAAAAUGAGAAGGAAAGAGAUGGAAGAAAAGGGAAGGAAGGAGCAAGAAGAAAGAGAAGGAGGAGGAAGUGGUGGCAAUGGUGAGUGGUGGUAAUUUUUAAAAAAUAUCACAAAAAUUAGUGAGCCUUAAAAAUAUCCCAAAAUAUAUCCCAAAAAACAUCACAAGAUCUAUAAUCAAAAGCUUUUCAUAUACACUAUUACAGUAAAAUAUUUCAAAAAUACUCUCAAAAAACAACAAAUUCAAAGGGAGCAGACUUCGUGAGUUAGAAAAUAUUCAUAGGAUCAAGUGUUGAUAAUUGAUUUGAAAGGAACACAAUAAGGAUCACUUAUAAAAAUAGAGCGGAAAAAUGUGAAUAUAUCUUCUCUAUGAGAUGUUUUAAUUUUCAAUAACAUGUAUUUGAAAAUUUAUCUCAAUUAACAAAAUUUUGAGGUCACUAGAGGUGGGGUAACCUGGACUAGUCAAGGGGUACGAGUUUAGAUAAAUUCAUAAUGCUAGAAUCCUUUGCAAUCAUGUUUGUUUUUUUUUUACCAUAAAAAAUUUACGAUAAAAAUAAUGGGUAAUAAUUUUUUGCAUUUCAACACCACUCGAUGAUAUCCAAAAUUACUCUUUUUGGCACUUAACAAUCUAUAUUAAAAAAUUAUUGUGAUUUUAAUUAAAAACAGGUUCUUAAGUAUAGAAAAGAGAUUUUUUUUAGCUCGCUGAUAAGUAUCGACUAUCAAAAUAUUUAUAGUCUAGGGAGAGAGAAGGAGGAGGAAAAGAAGAAAGAUGAGAGAGGGGGGAGGAGGAGGGCGAGUAGUGGUGGCGAUGGAUGAUGUAAAAUUUUUAAAAAAAUACCUCAAAAAAAUUAUAAUUAUUAAAAUAUUUCAAAAUAUAUUUUAAAAAUACCUCUAAAAAUAAUCCAGAAAACAUCUAAAGUAAAAAAUUUUCAUAUAAUUUUCAUAUACCCAAUUACUGUAAAAUUUUUUAAAAAUACCCAAAAAAAAAAUCCAUCCGUCUGAUAACAAACAGAUGCUCUCUGAUUACUUGGCACUGUGCACACUAUAAAGAGUUUAAUCUCUGCAUGACAUGAAAAUAAGAUAAAAGGCAAACAAAUAAUGUAAUUUUGUACUUAUAAAUACUUGGAGAACUCAAUGUACUACUGCACAAGCAAUUAAAAAUAUACAUAUUAGGUCUAUAUACAACUCAAAGCAAUGGACACAGUUUUCUUUGGAGAGGAGUCACAGGAUAAACUUUCCCAAGAGUAUUGUAGUACAGUCCUCAAUCAUCACUUGAUCCUAGAUCUUUACUUUCUCUAAAAGAGAGAGGACUACAAAUACUCCAAGUUAGCUGUUGAAAGCAAGCAUCUUUAACCUCAAAUCAAUUAGUACAUAGUCUCCCAUAAUAAAUCUGAAACAGAUUAAGAUCCUUAAUGGCUUGUUAUUAUCUAAAUCAUAUUGUGGCUUCUUCAAUCGGAAAUUGCUGUAGAGCAGAUCCAUGAACAAUGGUUUUUCCAAUAUACGGCAAACUGCCUUACAAAGGAAGUGAAAGAGGAUAUCUAUCAACUACAACAGAAGCACAACUCUAAGAUGCUUGUAAGGAAAUAAAGCAUGUCCAUCAAAAGAGCCUAAAAGCAAUGCAAGGCAACAGUUCUAAGAACAAAAAAUCUUCAAGAACACAUGAAAGAAAAACAAAGAUAAACAUAAGCUGGAUCGUUAACCAUCUUCAUGUGCUGCAUCUUCAUAUAGUAUGCUUGUGCAUGUAUACAACACACAGCAACCACCAGUAACCGAUACCAUGACAGUAGAGCAACAUUCUCAAAACAUUUAUAGAAAUUUAUAUGCAUCUGUCUUUUUUUGUGCUUGUGCAUGUAUGCAAUGCACAGCAACCACCCUUAACUGAUACCAUGACAGGUUACGCAACAUUCUUAAACGUUUAUAGAAAUUUAUACGCAUCUAUCUGAUUGUUUCUUGGACAUAGAGGAUGAACCUUAUCCCUGACUCGAGCAAAAGCCACCUCAGCAUCUCCAUUGAAUAGAUGUGGGCUGGUUGUGUACCUAAGACAGAAUAAUGGAAAUAUCAAAGACAGAAAUUCAGGUCAAUACCUAUUUGUUUGCUGGAACAAAUUAAAAAGUUUUGAAAGAACAAUGGAUGCAACACAAGGUAAGAGUGGAGAAAUAGCAUGAUCGGAUGCAUAAAACCUACAGAUAAGCUUGUGAGAGUUUUGCACAGCCACGUGUAGAUAUAUCUUGUCCAUUUAAAGUAGUUUUCCUCCCAUUUAAUCCAACCCAUCUCUCUCUCAAAAUAGGCUGAUCAAUUAUGCCAAGAACCUGAAAGAAAGAGAAGACGUCUAUAUUUUGUUGGUUAUAUUUUAACAUGAUUAUCCUUCACAGUUCUCUUUUACAUGAUGGCUGCUUGGCACAAUCUUAGGUGAUUCAACUAAAAAAAAAAAGAAGAAAGAAUUUAGACAAAUUUACACAGCAGUACAAUCCAAAGUCAAUAACUCAGGAAGUCCUAAUGAACUAAGGUCAUUGUAGAUGUACAGGUAUUUGGGCAUUCUACAAGUAACAAAAGUCAGGUGUAAAGAUAAUAGAGCUCACUAUCUAAAAAGAGUAAACAAAUGUAUUGGCUGUCUUCAUUCGCCCCAUGUAAAAUGAUAGUUGUUUCAGGACUACAUUCUGGUGUCCUGAUGAGAAAUUUCUUGCUCAACUAUUUGUCUUGGAUUCUACCCAGAAAAUUUCCCCAAGAAUGUACUUGCUUUGUAAGAGACGAGAUACAUGGCCAUUGACCAAAGUAUUUUUUGAGGUAAUGGCAUAUUAACAAGUUACUGAUGGACAAGAUAUUAACAGAGGUUAAUAGCUCAUCUCUCAUACCGGUUUUCCUUGGUAUAAUAGAGCAAUAAGAGUCCCAAAUAAUGGUUUUCCUGUAUUGCAAGCAAAAAAAUAAUAUGCUCAGUGAACUGAAUUAGUUGAAAACAAUAGUCAACAGUAAAAGGGGGAAAAGGAGCAGUACCUGUGAUGAAGCUCUUUGUUCCAUCAAUUGGAUCCAAUACCCAAACAUAGUCCGCAACUUUCUCCUUACACCUCCAACCCUUCUCUUCUCCAUAACUGCAAUUAGCAUUUCAUUACAUAAUUUUUGGGAAUAACAUUUUACAAGGCCUCGAACAACAACCAUCAAAGAUCCAAGUUGGUUGCCAAGGGUUAUUUUGGUUAAUUAAAAUCAAGACAUUGAGAACACCAAAUACGAUAAAUUCCUCCUCCCUUUUUUUUUAAUGGGAUAUUCACUCGUGAAAAACCCAGAGAUGAUUAUUUCACGAGAGAGCAAACACGACUAUUUUGGGAAGGCAGGUUUUCCAUCCAGUUUAAAUACGGAACUUUAUCCACUCAUAAUCAAAGUACCAGUCCAAUUUCUAGUAUGAACAAGGAUAAAAAGUAAAACCAUAAAUCAACCGGCAAUGUCCUACCAAACUAAGAGAACAUACAUUGCAUGGGAAGGAAAGUUCUCUUGUAUAAUCCUGACCAUUGCCUCUUCAGCUGCUUGAUCAGCAAUUGUAACAGGACCUAAAAGUAUCACAAAAAACCUUCAAAUCUUAACUGCCCGCUGCAAAUAAAAAAUUGCAGAGAAUGAUCAGGAGGAGAAUACUACUGACUUAAAUCCUCUUUAUCGAGGAUUUCGAAGCUCUUUCGGAAGUACUGGCGGAUAACUUGGCCGGCGGCGUCGGCCAGCUGGUUAGCAACAGCUGCGAAGCGAUCGAGCUGACAAUCGUCGAGCCCUAACUCAACAGAUUGAGCAUUAUCGGAAAGUGCAGACUUGGAAGACAUCCUUGCGGAGGUGAGGACUUUGGAUUGUAGAGAAGCUGAGAGUAGAUUGGGAGGCGAACGAAAAAUUGAAGAGAAGUUGGUGAGAUUGUUGGAAGGAGAAAGGAAAGGAGAAGAAAAAGAAGGGAGAGAAGAGUUCCGAUUCGGGUUAACAAGGAACCGAGGGUUGGAAAGCAUUUGGAGCUGCAUGUGAAUAAGGGCUUUAAAAAGGCGGGAAAAAAGGUUGAGAGAAAUGGAGAAAGCUGAUUUUGAAGAAAAGGAGAAACAGAGCAGCUUAUUGAGUGGAGAAGGUGAGCACUUUCGAGGGUUUGUUGCUGCUGCUGCUGCUUUUUUUUUUCCCGGUAUCAACAGUGGACGUCGACGAUGAUCCGUUUUGCAGAGUUAUUUAUUCAUUUAUUGGGGUGACGAAACGCAAUAGUGGAUCCUCUUGAUAUGGGCUUUUCUAUUUAUUAAAAAAGGGGUAAAAAAAAAGAAAGUCUCGUGUAAUAAAUCUAAUCGGUAGAAAAGCCUCUUAUAGUUUUAAAAUAUACAAUAUGACAUCUCGUACUUUGAACUAAAUUAUAAAUGUGACAGAAUCUGAUAAACUUAAUGAAAAUAGACGAAAUGACCAAAAUACCCUGAUGUAAUUAGGCAAAAAACAAUUCAAAAAUUAUUUGUUUUAUUCUCUAGAUAGAGAGAAUUGAGUGUUAAGAGGUAGAACAGGUAUAUUUAUUGUCAUUUCUGUUAAGUUUAACGGAUUUCGUCAUCUUUACAAUUUAGUUCAAAGUACGGAGUGCUGUAUUGUAUAUUUUGAAAUCGCGAAAGACUUUUCUGUAUAUUAAAUUUAUCACAUGGGACUUUUUUUAUAUUUUACCCUUAAAAAAAGACGUACUUAAUGGGGGUUAUGGACGUGGGAUAGACAUGUUAAUUCAACUCAUACUCGUACAUCCAAUCUACCUGAUUAUCCAACACGAUUGCUAACCUUGAAGUGAAAUGCCCUCGUACAUGUAUAAACUAUUAAUAGACGAGUUUUAUGUGUAUAAACUAUCAAUGUUUACAAGAUUAAUCUCGUUACCUAGUAAUAGACAAGUUCGACCCUUACACUAUUUUACAAGAAGAUUACGUCCCUUGCAUUGUUUAGGAGUCUGUUUGUAUGACAUUGUAAACAAAUGAAAUGAAUGUAGUAAUUAGAUUUUCAAUAAGAACACUUCCAACUACUCGACCCGUAUAGAGAACAUAGUCAGUCUCAAAAUAAGGCCCGGUUUGGAAGCGGAGGUUUUGGCCAAAUUUUUUAAUUACUUUAACUACAGUAAUUUCAAAAAAUUCCUCAAAAUUUUUAAACUAUACUCUUUAAAGUAGCCAAAAACACACAAAAAAGUUUCCUUCAUUCCUUUCUUCUUCUCAUCCCCCAUCUCAACCCACCACCAUCUCCGCCAGCUGCGCCUCUUUUUUUUUUUUGUGACCUUUCUUUCCCCUUUCCCUCUCCUCCUCCCCUCUCCCUUGCCAUCUCCUCCCCCUCAUUUCCCCAACCACCCCUCCCUCUCCUUUAUCGCAACAGGAAGAGUAAGGAGGAAGAGGGAGGGGGAUUACAAUUGACAGGGCGCCGAUUAGCAAGGAGUGAGGCAGAAGAAGAACGCAAUGGGGUGGGGGAAAAGAAGAGUCAAAAAAAGAAAGAGGAAAAGAAAAAAAGAAAAGGAAAAAGAAGGAAAGUUUUUUUUCUCUUAAAAGAAAAAUUUUUAGACACUUCAAAACAAUUUUCUAUAAAUUUAAUAAUAGAUGAUAAUAAACUUUUGGACAAACAGCCAAAAAAACUCAUUUACCAAACAGGAUCAAGAAUUGCUUUCACCACGAGAGAGAACGUAGUCAGUCUCAAAGUAGGAAUUGCUUUCGGCGAAUGCACUCGGGGUGCAAAUCCAUAUGAGGCCUAUACACGUAAACAUGGUGGAGAACUGAUUUUACAACGCACCGUUUAAUGAAAACAUGACAUCAUAUGUAUAGGCCUUCUAAAUUCUUAGCCAAUGACCUCAGAGCUUGGACAUCAAGACACUUCCCCUACCGCAUUUUGAAGCCACAAAAAAAAUUAAGGAAAGAAAAUAAAAGAAACGCCUAGAUGAAGGAGAUCUUAUCCAAAUAGUUGUUCACAUGAAAUGAAAGAAAGUUCAAGACUUGACCUAAUUUUAGAUUCAUUUCAAGCAAAGCUUUUCCACCUUAUCAAUUUGGGUUCUAGAAAAGCUUUACGCGGAAGUGGCUUCUAAAUUUUUCUUUUUUUUUUUCAAGGAGAGUUUCCAAUUUUGAUCAUAACAUGUUGCUAAUUGCGGGUUUGAUUAUUGCAACUCAUCACAUGUUGCAGGUCGUACAUGUCGAUAAACCAACAUCAGAAAAUAGAAUUAGUACGUAUUAGUGUGUCCAUAUCAGCUUGCGUAACUUAUCCCAAGGUGAUUCGCCAAAAUUAAUUUUACAUGUGACGUGGGUAAGAUUUGACCUAAACCUUUAUUCUUCAAUUUCAUCUCAUACCCAAACCCAAAAAGACUCCGUUCAUCCGACCCAUUUUGCCAUCUCUAGUCAGAAGUUAGAACGCUAGUUUGUCUCAAAGCAAUUGCCAUGAUCCGUAAAGCACCAAAUUUCAAACGGUCUUAGGGUAAUCGAGGUAUUGCAGACAAUGCUUAAGAAAUACUACUGUAAUAUAAUUGUGGUAAGACAGUAGACAUUAGUACAACUUAUUUCACCAAAUCAAAUCAAACCAAGCAAAUCCCAUGCACGUUCAAGAUUCAAGCGCACAACAAGGUCUUAAUCACACAUACAUACCAAACAAAAUGCCUAACAUAAUCUAGAUUUCCUAGGCAUCAGGAGAGAUUUUACACGAUGAUCACAGUAUGUUGUGGUAGGUAACUAGCGGGUGUCGUGAUGGCCAGGGAGCUUUUCCAUAAUCUUCUCCACCAUGCUCUUCUUUUCAUGCUGCUGACCCCCGACUGUAGUAGACGUCCCACUGCCAGUGGUGGUUGUUGGAGGAGAGGCGCUGUGCGCGUGCUGAUCAUCGAUGUGCUCCUGAUCGUCUCUGUCCUUGUGCCUCCCGCCCGUUAGUUUCUCCUUUAUCUUUUGUUUCAACCCUUUUUUCUUUCUUCUUCCUCCUUGUCCAUCAUCCUCCGACUAUAAACCAAAUUCAACAACUCAGCCACCAAAAUUUUCUUUUAGCUAACAACAUUCAAAUUCAACAGGAGCCUGAUUCGAUAUUAUGUAAGUCCCAGAAAAACAAAACGUGUACACUUUACGUCAAAUUACGGUUCAUUAUUAACAGGAUCUGUCAAGCAAACAAUUAUGAUGGCGCAUUAUACACACACAGACACACACAUUGUAACUUGGCAAGUAUCUCACCGAGCCAGAGCUUGAGCUGCUAGACCGAUGAAGCUGCUCCUGAUGUUGCUGGGUUCCAGUGGCAGCAGUUGGUCCGGUUCCAGUAGAAUGGACAGCACUAGCCGUCCCGGCGGUGAUAGCUACACCGCUAAGCUGCAUUGGGUUGCCAUACUCGUCCUUGAGCUGAACCGGGUUGCCAUACUGGUCGGUCAACUGCAUAGGAUUUCCAUAUUCAUCACGCAAGUCAGCCAUUUUCCAGGACUCCUGUUAUUAGAAAAAAAUAAAGAAAAAGGGCACUGAAAUUAAGGUAGCCUGAGACUUGGGGUUGACGAAUUUUAGCUGCGAUAACGGCUUUGUUUGGAUUUUGGAUAUCGCAGGAGACUUAAAAAAGCCAAGAGAGGGAUGAGGACGGUGGAAGGAGCACCGCGGUCUUUUCUGCAUGGUACCGAAGAUCCUCACACGUAUUAGCAGAGGAAGCUGAAGUGUAUUGCCACCUAUAAGACAUCAAGGCACGUGUCUUCCGCUGGGGGAUAUUAAAUACGUCAUGGUCCUGAAUUUUGGAAGGGUAUGAUAUAUAUCAGAUAUCCCUUCCAUCCAAUCCAUCCAUCCUUGAAAUAAUACCAAACGAUCUUUUAAUAAUCACAUUACAUUUUAAACUAUGAACAGAAGAAAAAUGCCUUUUAAAUUUUCACUAAAGAGACACGUGGUGAAGUCAGAAUCCGCUGUCUUCUGAGUCGGUCAGUAACAAGUUAACAACACGCGAACACAAAUCCCAAGUCAAAAGUUGAAAGGUUCAACAUCAUGAUCCGGAUCCGUCAAUAGAUAGAGAUGGGAUUGAGAGGAGCAACCCAAUGAUGUCUCCAACGCGUAAUUCGGCCCAUAGAAUAUCGAUUUAGAAAUGCGAUGGUAAAACGCUACGCAUAUAUCCAAACUAAUUUCAUGAAAUUAAACAGUAAACAGCCAUCGUACAAAAUGAAAGAGAACUAGUUUCAUGAUGCACGGACGCCCUGACCCCUAUCAUCUUUCCUUUUUCCUAUAUUAUAAUGAAUUCAUUUCCCCAUCUGUAUGGUCUUCCCUUUGCAGUGUAUCUUCAAAAGCUAACCUACAUUUGCACGAGACAAUGCCAGCUUCCUUGACAGGGUUGAAUUUAUGGCUGAUUGCCUGCUCCCUGCAUGCAUUUCGUAGCCCAUCUGAAGAACAACUGUGGAAUCUGCAGAAAUCAACAAGAAUCAAGAGGAGAAAUGCGGGAUGUAAAAAAUUUAAAUGACUAAAGCCUAAUGAUUAAUAGAACGGAUGAAGAACAUUUUCGUGUUAUAGGUACUAAGACCAACCAUGCAAAAUAUAUGUUGUUCACUACGUGAAAAGGGAUCCAAUCCUUCCAUUCCCUAAUAAAAAACCGUGACUGUUGCUCACCUUUGUAACUCUAGACAGAACUUAAUCCUUUCUCGAUUUUGCCCAGAAGAAUCCCCUCUUCCAGGAAGAAUGAUUCUCUGACAUUGAUCUACUGCCUUUAGAUCCAAAAGAAAAGUGACGCCUCAAGAAAGGCUUCGCCAAAGAGCCCUUCAUGCUGGAACUGGAACUCAUCUUAGGACCUCUUCCGUCAUGUCCACUACUUUUCUGACGAUCAAAAGCAACAAGAUCGCUAUUAAGGUCACUAUCAGCAAUCCUGUUCCUAGAUCUCUUUCUAGUCUUUAACUCAAAUUCGGCUCUCAAAGCUUUCUCCGACAUUUUCUGUGCCUGUUUCUCCCCAAAGGUACAGAUUGGACAAGCUGGAUCAUACUUGUUAAUAUCAGAGGUCAUAUUUUCCAAGCACUCUGCAUGGUAAACGUGCCCACAAAUUAAAACAGCAACCACUGCAAGCUCAUUAGUUGCUAUAAUUUUCUGGCUGCCCCAUGAAGAUUUCUCAGUCAAAAGUUUCGCACAAAUGCCACAGCUUUGGAGAUCAAAGGAAUAACCAGAAUUUCUACCACUAGAUCUGGUUAUUUUGUCACGAACAAAACCCAAUGUUUCACUGUCAAAAGACCACCUUUCUCUACGGGAAGUUGACAUGAUAUCAGGGAAGGUUGGUGUAGACCAACUGUCUGAUGACCCACCAUGGGAAGCCCUAGUUGACUCAUGGCUCCAUCCAGGAAGCAUAAAAGAUGAUGUUUCUUCAGAAACUGACAAAGUUGGAGACUUGAUUGUUGGAACAAGGCUGUCAGAUACUUGCCGUAAGAGUUGGUGCCCAGGAGAACGGCGAGGCCAUCUUGAUGGAGUUGAGCUUGCAGGAAGCGGGUGGCUUUGGGAUGACAAAGGUGAUGUUGACAGAGAGGAAACUGAAGGUGCUGAAGGAGAUAACUUCACGGGAGAUGGACAAGAAACUGCAGGAGAUGCAGUUGACUCCCUAACCUAAUUAAGAAACAAAUAACCGAUAUAUCAAGAUGAUGCUAGGCAAAAAGAACUUAAAAUUUGUGAAUGCAUCUAAUGGAAAAUCUUACACCUAUUUCAAACUUACAUCUGUAGAAUUUGUACAGGUUAAAGGAUCUGCAACCAAAAAAAAUUCAUCAUAAUUCAGACAAGAUAAUAGGUACCUCGGGGCUUAAAACCACCUUACCAAAAGUGGCAAGAUUUGAUGUCAAAAUUGCUGACUUUUUUUUGCUUUUUUUCGGCAAUUUGCUAAUUAUUCAGUAAAGAACACCAAGAUACAUCUAAAUAACAUGAUUGAUGCAGCAAUAAUUAGUGUUUUCCCCAAUGCAGCAGGGCUGACCAUGAUGCACCAUAGCAGUAAAAUAAAAUAUUUUCCCAAAUGUCCACAAUAGAAGCAAGAUGUUGCAAAUGGAAUAUUUGAAUGCACUCCACGAAACAGUUGUUAAAGCAUCCUACUACUACUAAAUUUUGAGUAUAAUUGCCAAUCAGCCCAUAGAGUUAAAAAAAAAAAAACUAAUUUCAUUUGCAGAUACAAGAGAAUAAUUCGAAAAGUGCAAGAUGAAAGCCCCAUCACUCCACUAACAUAGAAUAAAUAAGAGAGGAAAUUAUCAACUACCACAGCAUAGAUGAGAAUUGGCAUCUAUCAUCUGCUUGUGUACGCAUAAAGUUUUUCAUGGUUGUAUAUAUGUACAACCCAUGAACUAAGGCUUGAGGCAUAAACUACCUCGUCCUUGAAAGAUGCGCCUAAAAUCCUUCACAAGAUUUCUGACUCUUUGAUCCUCAUCCACUAGGUCUCCAUCGAACUUUCUCAACAGUAGACCUAGAUAGUGAAGAUGUUAUGCAGUUAUUUGGCUACUCAGAGAAACAUCCACCGUUUUUCAGUUUGUCAUGGUGAUGUAAAACCACUCAUCAGAUAUUUGAAACUAUUAAACUAAUCAGGAAACCUGUAUAUAUAACCAUUCCAGAACUCUUGAACAAUCAAAGUGAUACGAAAUUAUAUAUUUCCAAACUUAUCAAUGUUCAUCAACUCGUGCAUAAGGUGGAUAGACUUAGAUACGAAGUGAUGGUUGAGUUAAACAGUUUCUGUGGCCUUGAAGCAUGGUAUCAGUAACACUGGUUGCCAAAAUAGUUUGCUUCAACAAUAAUUUGAAUAUUAUCAUAUACGUCAUUACACAUGAAACUGCCAUCUAAGAGGAGAUCAGGAAAAUUUUAUGCAAACAUAUAACACAGAAACCAAGUAUUUGCCUAUGAAGCUUGUAUUAUUCUACUUAGGAAAGGACUAAAUUAUAGUAUAACACCACCUAUCUUAGUAGCCAGCAAAGUUACUCUCAAAGUCACCCAUCAUCCCUGCUUAAUCAUCAAUAGUGACUGCCUCAUGCAGAAUCACAAGUUGUUCACCCUUUUCCUUUUCCUAUACUUGGUUUUCCAGUCAAUCAGCUUGUGUAGUUGUGUGUUCGCCUUAAAGCUGCUCUGUACAGCUAGUAUAUGUGACAUAUGCAGCAGUAUAGAUGAUGAAUGUGCGAAAUCGAAAGAACCUCACCCUACAUACUGCCACUUCAGUGUAACAUUGAAGUUUUUAUUCUUAGACUAGAAUGAUGUUUUCUGUCGCACUAAUUGGCAUUGCUUUUAGCCCAGUAUACAACCAUAACUAUGUACUUUUAACUAUGUAUUUUUAUGUCAAGGACUGAUUAUUUAAUGUCUCACGAAAUUCCGACAUUGCAAAAUACUAGGUUUAGUUCCCAGGAACAAUAAACACAGCACUCACACAAUCAAGUAGGAAAAAGAAAAGAAAACUUGCGUAAUCUCCAUAAGAGUACUUUUUUUCUUCAGAGAGCGUUACAUUUAUAAAAUGAAAUGAGAUGAGAAGCAGCAUAAAGAUGUACCAGAAGUAGUGAGCCUUGUAGCCCCGUUAUUUACAUCAGAAACUGGGGACUUCUGCCAUACAAGUGAUUGAAAACUAUCCAAUGGACUACCUUCUUCAGAUGCAUGUGUGGUUUCAAUAGUUGGUCCAGAUUUAACAUCUAGUGGAUCAUUGCGGGUGACCCCAUCGGAAAUCCAAUUUACAGAAGUUUCCUCCCCCACUACUCGCACCCGGUUAUCCCAUCGAAAGCUCCAUGAUGGGGAAUGCCGAAUGUUCCUGUGCAUAAUUUCACUGGUAGACCCAUUUGUAACCGUUCUAUCCUUAGCAGCAACACAACAGACAGACCCCAUGCUUGCUCAUAUAAACAAAAUUAUAUCAAUAAACUACUCCAGCUGUCAGUCACACCAAUAAUCCCAUCAUAGUCACUGCAACAAUAAAAUCCUAAAAAAGUUACUAUAGGAAAACUGUAAACAAAAACAUAAAAAUUAGAACUAAGUCUCCAUAGCAGGAGUUGAGGCAUUCAUAACUAUCACUAGCAGAAACCACAAAAGAAACUAUCAAUAGUUUGACAGCCAGAAAAUAAACCAUGCAAAACAAUGGUCUCUUGCAUAAAGAACUAAGAAGCGUGAAUCCCAUACGUGAAAGCAUAUUUUUCUAUGCAGGUGGUGAAAGUACGUUAAAACUACCCACCUGAUCACGGUUCAAAUAAAAGUCCAACAUAUCACUCUCAGAAACUUUCAAAUUCAUCAAUUUCCAUUAAUCUCAAUUAACAUUUUCCAAGCAAAGCAGAAAUAGUCAAGAAGAAGAACGGGCAAUACCAGCCAUCCCCAUGACCAAGACCAACACAAAACGCAUAAGUAAGUCUCAGAACAGUAUGGCAUCUAAGCAAAAUAAGUGACAGGACUAAAAAUUAGGAAACCUAAGAGCAGACAAGAUUCAUCUUUUGUUAUGGUGGAACAGUAUUGUAUCUAAGCAAAGUAAGUGACAAAACAAAAAUUAGGAAACCUAAGAAUAGACGAGAUUCAUCAUUUUUUACGGUUGACUAAUAGACAAUAACUCUACCAUUUGGCCAGUGAAUCACAGCAGCUGAAACCCUAAUCCCUCUUCCCUGUUCCAUAAAUUUCAGCGCUUCAAAAGCUUCUCCCAGAACUGAAAUUUUCCAAGUCGGCAAAAAUUAUCAUGAUACUGGAAAAUAAAAAUUUACAACUCAAUAAGACCCCUCUCUCUUAAAACAAUUCAAGGAAACAAUUAGCAAUCAACAGGCAACAUCUAUAAUCCUAUUUUUUAUUUUUAUUUAACUAAAUAAAUUCUUACUUUAUAAACACAACUCAAGCUUAAAAAAUUUACCACGAGCAAGUAGAAUUAAUUUUUUAAAGGAAAAUAAAAGGAGAAAUAUAUUUGCGAGAGGAAAUUUUUAAGUGAAAAGAAAAAAGUCGAAUAAAGCUGCUAGUAGGCAGGUGGAGAAGACUAAGCAGUAGGAGCAAGUCUGAGUCGCGAAAACCCUAAAAAUACGAAUAAUCAGACACUGCAUAGGUCCUAGAGAUCCGAAACUGUAGCCCCGAUUAAUUUGUAAUCUCAUUCAAUAACACUGCCUAAUAUAUUUUCCCCAAAUUCCGCCCGAUUAUUUCCUUAAUCAUCUCUAAUGAAUCCACCUCACUAAUAUUCCCAAGAGCAAACAUAUAUACUACCAACUAAUCAACCACAAAAAUUCUUCGAUUUUAUGCAUGCUAAACAUUUUAGCGAUUGUUCAUAUUUUUUGUCUAAAAUCAUAGAAAAGGAAACGAUCAGAACAGUACCGUUUCGUGCUUGGGCGAACCACCGGCAGACGGAGACAAUUUAGAGAGAGAGAGAGAGAGAGAAUCUAUAUGUGUGUGCCUAUAUAUAUGUGUGUGUAUAUAUCUGGUGUGUGUGAAACGGAGAAAAUAGAGAGGGAAAGUGGAGAGAGAGAGAGAGGGAGAGGUUUCUGAUUCUCCUGCUUCCCUGGUUGAAUGAGUUGGGGAUGGAGAGGUAUAGGGGAGGGACGGGGCGGGGGUCCUCACUACUAAAGUCGUUGUAGACGGUUCUUAAGAGUGCCGUCAACGUGUGCUGGUGAAACUCAGCACUCGGCAGAGCGUUUACGGCUGUGAACACCGUCGGCCGUUGACGUCGUUAACUGGCACGUGUCCUAAGGUUGUUUGUUUGUUUUGAUCAUGUGGAUGUUGGUGUUGUCAAUUACCAAAUUCCCUAGGCAGUGAACAAGUUUACUCGCUGUAAACACAAUAACCCUCUUAGUAGUUUUCUUUUUUUACACAUAAAUUAAGAAAAAUUAGUUGACUUUGCUGAGUACUCACGGGGUGGCAUUGUUUGGAUUGUGAUUUUUGACAAAAAAAUUUUUAUAUUAUUUAUGAAUAUAUUUUUUUAAUUAUUUUUUUAUCUCACAUAUAUUAAAUUAUUACAAUCUUGCAAAAAACUCUUAAAAAUAGCAAUUCAACCGAUCUAGUCUACUAUUUUUCUAAAAUAUCCUUACUUUAAUAUUUACCUUUACGUUAAUUAUAAUAACGAUUUUGAUGGAAAGUUUUACUAUUCAGGCAUGGAUCAAACCAAUUAUUAGGUUUUUUUUUUGAAGCACAGAUCAAUUAUUAGGUAAGCAACUUGUAUUCAUUCAUAACAAAGUACAUUAAAUAUGGACAUUUUAGAGAAGUUAAAAUUCAACCAUAUUUUUUAAUUGAAAAGUAAACUAUAAUUUAGGAUAAAUGAAAAAAUGAAAGCAAGAUUAUCAAAGUGGAACGAGAAAAGUAAUAGUACUACCAUUUAAGCAUUUAAAAUUUAUUUUAUUAUUAUUCAAUUAUUGCUCAAAUGAGUUUUCAUGAGGUCGAUUUCAAGUAAUUUCGUAUAUUUAUUUAAAAAUUCAAGCUUUACACUUGUUAAGUUGAGAUCAGUUAGAUGGAGGAAUGGAUUAGGCGCUUAAGGAGAACGAAAUGUAAGUGAAAUGUCCUAAAUUCAAACCUCCCACCUAUAUUUAAAAGAAAAAAAGAAUUGAGAUUGGUUUAAAAGAUUAAUGAACAUGAUUUUUUUUAUACCUUUUUUCAUCAACUAACCAAUCAAUCAAAUUAAAUCAAGCUGCAUUUUAAAGGGUACCUAAGCUUGCAAUUUUUUGCAUUUUCAAAGGAAAAAUAAAGGAAAAGUUGGUAUAUUGUGAAAUGUUGAAGGAGUUUUUUUUCAAACGAAAAAUUUUAAAUCCAAAAUCUCCUAUUUAUGCUAUUUUCUUCUUACCAUCCAAUUCAACCUAGCCCUCCCGCAAUGUCACAGGAGGAUACCAAUGGUAUAUUGUGUUGGGCCGGGGGGGAAGGGGGGGGGGGGUACAAGGGGGGGUUUCUUAUUAGGUACGCGGAGUGCAUGGUACGCAUUCCCAGCUUUUCACGUCACACACGAAAGUAUCAACAAAUUAAUUUGAGCAGAGAUUCCUUAAUUUUUUUGUGUUAGCUUCAUUCAUUAUCAAAUCCAUUUGAUUCCCUUCAAUAAACAGUGAGUGUGUCUGGAGAGCCAUUAUUAGGCUCCAAAUUAUUUACUUGCAUUAGAAACACAAUUUUCAUCACACAUUUAGGUAGUUAUGACCUCCCUCUUAGUUAAUUAAAUAUUCUUCUUUUUUCUUGUCCAAAAAAUAAGGGAAUUUAUAUGAAAAGUUAUUUGUGUUACUAUCUUAAAAUUUUAAGCGACCAUUAGAGAUUGUGCUCGUUAAGUAGCAAGCUCUCAAUUUUAAUCUGUUUAACGUUUGUGGGAAAAGAAUUAGACAUAGCUAUCACUUUAUCCCUCUUCAGUUUGGGGUUCUUUCCCCUCGAAAAGAAAAGGAACAAAAAAGGGUUCAUGUCAUAGUUAGUAAAGUGCAAUACAAGACUAACAAUAAAUACUACGUAUGCGUAAUAUAUUAGAUUUUUUAGUGAAAAGGCAUGAUUAAAUGAAAUAUAUGAAUUUGGCAAAAUUAUAUACAAAAAAAUCGUACAUAUAUAAAUGUUAAGUAUAAUUAGAACUUUAGUAUAAACAUAUUAGUAAAUUUAAUAAUUUCUAUUAAUAUACAUGCAUAAUUGUUAUAUAAUUAAUAUAAUUAAGUAUAUUAUAUACACUAAUAUAUAUUAUGUAAUAUUUAUAAUUAAUCAUAUCAUUAUUAUAAAUUUAUAACUAAUUAAAUUAAAUAUAUUUGCAACAAUUUAAUUUUUUUUUAACGGGCAACGGAACAGGAAUGAGACAAGAGUAUACUCUCCCACCCUAUUUUUUAACGAGAGAAAAAUGCUCCACAUCCCGUCCCACCCCCGCUCUGCCCCUGUCUCCAUAAGCCCGCCUGUUCCAAUUGCAAUCCCUAUUAUUAUCUAUAUCUAUAUAAAUUUGAGAAGGGAUUUUUAGCAACAAGCCUCCACGUAUCUUCCCACUACCAAUUCCAUUUUUCUAGCAUUUCACAUUUAAUUUAAUUCAUAAAAUAUAUUCCUCUCAACUUCUACAUCACCUCUGCGCAUUUGAAAUUGUUGGUUACUUUUUAACAUCAUUUCAUUUCAAAUUGUUGAUUAAUGUGCAUGUUAUUCUAUUUGAACUUCAACCCAUCACGUUUCUGAUUGCCUUGCAUUGUUUAUGAUUCUACAACAAUUAAAACUUCUAUAAGACCAUAAGAAGAGAUAACAAUUAUAACAUCCUUUCAUGCUUUCUUAUUAAUUUAAAUAAAUAAGAUUAUUUACACUCCAUUUUUGUUAUUCACACUUCAAUAAUCAUUUUGAUCAUAUAAUUUUCAUUAGUUAGACUAUAUGAUAAAACAAAUGGUGCAAUUACAAAUAAUAAAAAAUGGAGGGCAAAUAACAUUUUCUUAAGUAAGAAAUGACUUCUAUACCUUUAUAAUUUAAUAAAGUAGUGGCUCUGCUUAUAUAGGAAUUUGGUUUAAAAUUUAUUAGUGGGAGGGUAAAUAAAAAAAAAUAUUGCCAAACAUAGUAAAAGUAAAAAAGUAAAUGAUAAUAUUUUAUCUUUUAACUUAGUAAUCCUAAAUAAAAUGGCAAAAUUAAAUAGAAAACAAAAAGGAAACAAUGUCGUGGAUUUAAAAAAUCAAGAAUGGUACCAUUCAUGAAAUCGAAAUUAUGGAAUCACUAAAUAAAAAACAAAGUACUACUAGCCUUUUAACGUCGAAAUUUUUUUGAAAUAUUCAUUUUUGAUAAAAAAAAAAUAAUGAUAAUAACAACACCAAUUCUACCAAAAAUUUUUAAAAAAAGUAACAUUAUAGUUUAAGAGAAAGAUAUAGAACAUUCAGCCCUAAAAUACUACUUAAUUUGUAUAUAUCUGGCCCAAAUUUGACAUUAAAUUUGAAUAAGAGUGCAAAACCCAAACACUAAGGAUAAGUUUUGGUAUCAUUAAUUAUUUUAUGUAUUCUUAUUGCUGCCUUCAUAUGUAAAUAUGUAUUUGCUAUGUUAAAUAUAUAUAUAUAUAUAUAUAUAUAUAUAUAUAUGUUGAUUGUAGUACUUGAGGAUAUUAUAGAUAUUAUCAGUUUUUCAUUUCGAUUUUUAGAUACUAAUAAUUGCAACCAUUGUAAUUAAUUUUUAAUUUUACAUUUUCAUUAUGAUAGGUAAAGUUAAAUAUAUUGGGUCGCAUGAAUAUGAAUUUAUAUGUUAGGUAAAAGGGGAGGAGGGAGGGUAGAAAAUAGUGAGGAGUUGAAAGAUAGCAGAAAAUGUUGAAAAAGAAAUAUGGGUUACAAGGAUAGGCGGGGAAGGAAGAGAAGAAAAAAGAGAAUUGCAAAAGACAUGACAGAGAUGACAAAAAAAAAAAUUAUUUUGAUUUGAAAUAUAACCCGUGCAUAUCACAGGUCAAAAUACUAGUUUCACAUAAUGCAACAUGGUGUGCUCGACUAGAUUCAUCCCCAAGUGGGUAAAAUUGCCGUUGCCGGAAACAUCGUGGGAACAGUUAUCCAGAUCUUUACACGGUGGCAGAUCAAUUUAAUUAAUACUUGUUGUAAUUGUUGCUUAAUGAGAUCUUGAUUGAUUAAAAAUCUGAUGGCUCCAAUGCACGGACUUGCUGUCUACAGAAAAAAAAAAAAAAAAAAGAAGAAGAAGACACACUUGUGUUAUUAAAUUAUUUUAAGAUUCUCUUCCAAAGAGAAUUGCAGUACCGUGCAAAUUUAAAAUUAGUAUGUCACCGUAUAAUAGGCCCGGAAACUACCCGCACAUAUUUUUUUCUGGUGGGCUCAUUAGUAAGAAGGGCCAGUACACUUGUGAUUUUCAUACAAUUGUAUAGUUAUUGUAUUUUUUACAUGAUUUGAUAUAUAUUUACUUCUCUUUGUUGUACACAUAUCUUUUGUUUUUGUACAUCAACUCAGUAACUUAAUACAAUAACGAUUGUAAACGUACAAUCGUUUGGACAGGAGAUUAUUUGGAAUUUUUAAAAAUAUAUAUAUAUUGUAAUACUUUUUUGAUUUGAUAUAUAUAAGAUAAAAUAAUAGUUAAAAAAAUAUGUUGAUGAUGCAAACAAAUAAAAUUUGUGUAAAUAAACACUAUCCAAACAAAUUAUUCAAAACUGAAAAAGUUUACCAAAAAAUAUUUUCGUCCUUGUUAAACUGCAUGAAUGAUGUAAUUGAUAUUCUUUUAACCCAUAGUUGAUGUAAACGGAGUUCAUUGUGAAUUGGACUCUUUCUCUCCCACAGUGUAAGAGUAAUAUAGAUUAUUGUAUUUAGACCGAAAAAAAAAAAGGUUCAUGGUCUCUGUCCAAAUUAAUAAGCACAUGUGAUAAAAUCUAAUUAAGGAGGAAGAAAGUUGAAAAAUUAGUACGCCUCAAAGUAAUAAGCACAUGUAAUUAAGUAAGGAGAAGACAGUUGACGAAUUAGUACACUUGCAGAGAGUACACUUGAAGUUGACAAAUUAGUACUAAAGAGAGAGUACACUUGGCCAUGCUGAUUGACAUCAGCCGGUGGCGUAUUUUGCCCAACAGAAUCAAAAUCAUCACAAGCAAGCAAUCCUGGGUCCAAAGCAUUAGGACCUUUUUCUCCCCACAACGUUUCUUCCUCCUUCCAUACAUCCGGGCAGAAAAAAUAGAGAAAAUUGUCCCACAUAAUUCAAGUUCAGCAAUAUCUAUAUCUAUAUAAAUAUGAGAAAGAGCUUUUUAGCAACAAGAUUUCACACACCUUCCCAUUCUCAAUUCCAUAUUUCUAGCAUUUUACAUUUAACUUAUUUCGUAAAAUACAUCAUGUCCACAUUUUCAACACACUCUCACGUUUUUAUCAAAUAAUAAGAAUAUCACUCCAACUAAUACUUCUCCCCCUCACACACCUUCUCGCUCCAAUUAAUACUCCUCCAAUUAAUAAUUCUAUUCUAAUUAAAACUCUUCCAACCCAAUAAUAAGAGAUAACAACAUAAUUUCACUAAAAACUGCAAUUUACCAUCUCUUUCAACUUUCUUCACAUGCUAUUUUAAUAUAAUUUUAAUUCGAAAGCAUACAACAUGAUUAAGAAACAGCAAAACUAAUUAGAAUUAGAUUUUGAUCCAAAAAAAAAAUUAGGCCUAUAUGUCACUGGCACGUUGCCGUAAUUUGUAAUGCCAAUUAGGACUAUUUAUCAUUUUUUUUCAAGGAGUUAUGACAUUGUAAAGCUUAUUUAAGCAAAAUUUGACUCAUCGGUGAUUUUAGUAUCAAGUUAUUAAAUAUACUACAAAUUCUAUAAUAUCAGUCUGCUAUAAAAAAUAAUAUUUUACCAGCAUGUGAUAUUUACGUACGAAAUUUCAAAGGUAAAUCAGAUGCUUUUACUUAUACUCUAUAUAAUUUGAAUAGUUUUUUAGCGAAUAUAACUAUACUAUGCAAACCCAUCACUUUGUAUAAUUGAAACUAGCAAAUUGUAAAUCAAUCACAAUUUAAAUUUUGCUCGAUACCUACGCAAUUGGUGAGUUCCAUUAGUAAUACUACAUCAAACUUUUAAUGUUGUUUCAUACUCUUAUCAACAUGUAUUUCAAAAAUCAUAGAUCCAAAAAUGAUACAUGUGCUUGAAAGUUAGUUACGUGGUUGAGAUCAAACAAUUUUACAACAUUACAAGCAUUGUUGAUAGCAAAUUCAAAGAGAAUAUGAAUAUUCGAAUAUACAAUCAUGCAUACGGUAAACUUACUCUAUUUAAUUUAAUUACUGCACAAAUUUUUAAAAUUUAUAAUCAUAACAUAUACCUUCUUUCAUUCUUACUAGAUUAAAUAUUUUCAAAUACUUGGUUACAUUCAGAGCAUUAACAUAGAAAACAUAUUCUAUGAGUUAUGCAAAAAUUGUGGACAACUAUGUGAAAGUCAUUUUUCAAAAACAGUGUGUAUGCAUUGUAAUGACGUGGUCGACACUGUUGUUAGGUAAUUAAUUUCAUGUACCUUUAAUUUCAACAAAUUUUUCUAUAUUGUAUAUAACAUUUUAUUUGUCAAACAGGUACAAUGUUAACAUACAAAUCAAAGAUUCUAGUGAUAACAUACAUCUUAAUCUACAAGACAGACAUGCAAGAUUUGUAUUUGGUUGUGAUACUUCUUAUUUUGAGAAUUACAAAUGAAGGUAGAAUUUCUUGAUAUAUGUUUAUUUUUUAUAAUGUUAUUUAGAAACUAUGUAAAAACAAUACACUAAUUUUUAAUUCUUAGGACAAUGGUGAUAAGUUGUUUAUUCAACGAAUCAAUUCAUGCAAAGAUCGUGCAUUUUUAUUUGUAAUACGCAUUCCACAAAAUUUAAUAGAAUUAAUUAAAUCACCAAUUUUGACUUUCGUACUAAAAGUUGAUUGGUGUAAAGAGUGUUCACACUUUCAUGCAAGAUUAUCAAAUCGAAUACAUAAUAUUUGUAAGUAUUUCAUUUUAACAACAUUUAAUUACAUUCAUUUUUAUUCAUAUAUCAUUAAUUUUUUAAUAUAAAAUUUUAUUAUUUUUUUAGGAUAUAUCUUAUGAAAAAGGUAAUUUUUGAAUAAUAUACACAUUCUAUUAUAUUUCAAACUAUUGUUAGACAGAUAUUAUAUUUUAAUUGUAUUGGUACAAUUUUUUAACCUUUUUUAAUUCACCAUUUUAUUUUCAUUUUUUCAAUAAUGUCAGCACCGUGCGUAGCACAGAUAUUCACACUGGUAUAUAAGUAUUGUUUUGAAUUGAAAUAUAAAUCCGUGCAAAGCACGGGUUAGAAUGCUAGUUCCAUAGGAAUGCUGGAAUGUAAAAGAAUGAGAUUGUGGGUCCGUUUGUUUGCUUGUAAAAUAUUUUCCCCCCAAAAUAAAUAUUUUAGCUGAAAAUCAUUUCCCUGGAAAUAUAUGAUUUUUUCAUUUUUAAUUGACUUUUUUGAAAAUGUUUUCCUCAUAACAAACAAUGAUUACUACAUUUCCUUAAACUAUCAGCAUUCCAAUAUGAUUACCACUACCUGUCUCUCAUUUCUACAGAUGAUUCACCUUAAACACCACAAUCAAUUUGAGAGUCAAAAAUACUUUCUUGGUAUUCAUAGAAAACUCUAAGAACACUUGCAUAAGAUGAUGUGCCCAACAAGAUGCUAAAAAUGGGUAAGCAGAAUCUUUGCCCUUUUGGAGGUACAUCCACUAAUCUGUAAAGCGUUAUAUCCAUUUAAAAUUAUUCAUCAAUAUAUAUGAGAUAAAAAAAUGCAUACGACUCGUAAAUUUGUGUGUGAGGCUGAGAGAUAAAAAGUGGAUCCAACGAGAAAUCAUAGCGGGUGAGAGCGAGAAAGUGACAGUCGAUCCAACAAAGAAUGGUAGACUGGUUGCUAGAGAGAGUGAAUAGGAGAAAAAUUGGUUGCGGAGGCAAGGGGGCUUUGUUCUGGAAAAGUAUUCAGUGUUCCGCUGGAAAACAACUUUAGUAAAAAGUUUUGCAGAAGUUGUUUUCCAUUGGAUCGCGUAAAACCUUUUCUAAAGGAAAAAUUUUUCUUGACACUUCUUUGCAGCCAAACAUCGAAAAAAAGGGAAAACAUAUUUUUCGCGAAAAUUUUCCAUCCAAACAAACAUAUAUACAUACCCAUAUUAUUUGACCUUUUUGUUGGAACUAAAAUAGUAAAAAAGUACGACAAGAAUUGCAGUUUGACUUUGAAAUUCCUACCAGCUGAGCCAUCCAUUGUGGUCUCAAUUUUUUCGGUCCUUGUGCGUCAUAAAUUCAACGCAUUAGAAACCAUAAGUUCCUUAGCCACUGUCUGAUAGAUUUGAAUUAAUCUUUUAUACAAUGAUAUAUAGUAUCAAUUUUGAACGGAUGACAACUAAUGUAAAUUUAAAUAUUUCUAUUUGAUAAUUCAGUUCAGCAUUUAAAUAUGCAUUCAGAUCUUAAUAUAUUCAAAAAAUUUGAUAAUCAAAAAUUGAACAUUUAAAUUAAUUAAGUGACAUUGAAUUUUUAAGGAAAAACUUGCUCCCAAAAUUAAGUGAUAAACUAUUUACUUAUCACUAAAUGUAAUAUACACUCAAAUAUAUUAGAUUUAAUAUUUAACAAUUCAAUAAUUUAAAAAACUCAGAUUUCACACUUCAGUUUUAUCAAAUACACUUAGAUAUCGAUGUUCUGCAUGUAGCGGUGAUAACUGUAAGUGCGUUCCAAAGAAGAGAUAUAUUCGCUAUUUGACUUGACUCUAAUUAUACCAUAUAUAUAUAUAUAUAUAUAUAUGCAUACAUGAUACGCGGUGGAGAUUCACGGCGUACAAGGUGCCGAAAAUUUGACGACAGUUUUUCCGGCUGGAUUGAAUUUGUAGUAGAGAAAGUUAAAUCUUCAAUUAACGAUGGCCGCCAAAUGAGAAUUUGACAACAGUUUCUGUUUUGGGACAGUGCCACGCAUUUAACUUCGUGUUUUUCUUUGACUGUAUAUUACCUAACCGUAAAAAGCUUAUGAAAUUAUUACUGGGAUUUUUUUUAUUUCUGAAGCUAGUAUUCAUUAGUAUUUUGUUGGGGAUUUAACAACCAAUCGGGCUAGUUAAAUUUCAAUUUUACAUAAAUUUCGAGCACUGGUACAAUAAAAGUAUUUUCCUGAAAAUUUUCCGCUAUUUCAAACUUUUCUUCCUUCCAAGAGACACUAUCCAAUAAACUGGAGGAAUCAUAAAUGCGGUAAAUUAAUGUCGGCUCGUGACUUUGCAACCAUAUUAUUGUUACUGCGCAACUAACGGACCUAGAAGAAAACGCGGAGCAUGAUUUCACGAAAAGCUUGAAGUUUAGACUCGUCGUCACCAACAAAAUGGGCUCGUUCCGGAUAAUUCUGCAAAGGAAGAUUGGGCCAAAUGAUGCAGAAGCCUACAUGCAAACCCAAGUCGCGAUAGACUCGUCGUGACUUUUUUAUUUUUUCAAGUAACUCGUCGUGACUUGGUACUGCACUUUAAGAUUUUUAAUCAUGAGUGCUGCAGUUGUAAAUUGGCCCAGCGCGACCUGACGGUCAAACCGAUCAACUCGUUGAAUCGGUCACAAGAUCAGAUUAGGUCACUGAUUUGAUCGGUUAAACAUAAAAUUUAUUGACCGAUCAACGACUCGACGAUUCAACUCUUGAGCCCGAAAAAAUCAGCUGCUGAACCAUCAACUAAAAUUUUUUAUAAUUUUAAAUAUAUUAUUAUAUUAUAUAAUAUAGUGAUUGUGUAACUUACGGUUGAACCGAUGAUCCGAUCGCCUUUGCGAUGUCGAGUUUUGGAUCGGGUUUAAUAAUUAUCCAUGAGACGCAUUAAAGAUUACAAAUCAUGAUAAAUAUGAUGGAAUACAGGAACGUAUUUUUACUCUAAUUACUCUAUACCCUAGAUAUUCUAUCUCUUCAUCCCCACGUAUUUUUAUGCCUGAUUUGGAUUCGCAUAUACUUUAACAAAUCUUUUAUAAAAUGGGAAAGCACGUACCCAAGAGCUCUUUUAUCACAUUAUAAACGGACUUCUAAGAGGUUAUCGGGAAAAGUGCUGAAUAUCGAUUCCGAGCUACAUGGUGACCUAAGUACUUCAUCAAUCUCUUAGACCCAUUGGUGGUACUUUAGAAUAUUGUUGUGAUCAUCGGCCACUGGGUUUAGCAACAAUUAAGCGUUAGCAAAAUUUGAGUAAUUACGUAAAAUGUUUAAGAUGUGGGUUUGUGAUGCAUAUGGUAUAAACUCAUACGAACAAUCUGGGAUUUUCCCCUUCCCCUUCCCCCUUCCUCCCUAUCUCCAUUGAUGGAAAUUUGCCAACAGCAUCGCUCUUGGGUCAUUUCUAUUACAUCGCUGAUUGUUCAUCAUGACUCACGAAAGAUGGAAAAAUUUUUGAAGAGCAAAGAAUUAUAUGUUUCUCUAUUUGAAGCAAAAGUUUAGAACAUAACCGAUACUUGGAAUAUACUACACAUGACUUGCAAACGCAGCUUCACUCGCAUCUCCCAUUAGUCCACAGAGGGAGGCAUGCAUUCCAUCUUCUAUUUACAUAAUAAGCUAAUUAUAAGGCGUACAUAUGAUACGGAUCCCGCCUCAUUCAACAGAUACAAGAGCUUCCAAAAGCCAACUGUUACCACAUUCAAAACUGACCUUAUGGCAAUAUAUAGAGCUAAAUAUAAUAGCAGCACUUCUAGGCUUAUUCUACGCACCAUAUAUAGACACAGAAUGAGCAGCUUAAUUUAUAUCUAUAUAUAUUUCAUCCAUCAGUUUGGAAUGAGCUUGAAAGGAGGCUUCCCUAGCGCUGGAGACGGGUCAUACCUUCCAUAGUCUUUGGUGUUAACUUUCAGAAGCCUUUCAUGAACCUCCAUCACCUCUUCAUGGCUUAAAUGCUCCUUUUGUACCUCCUGUGAUUUUGGACAGAAGUUUGGAGUAAUCAUUAAACAGCAACGGUAUAGAACUGGAGAAGGAAAGAGGGUAAGUGGAAGUCAAUGGUAUUUAUGAGUUUCUAGCGAGGUAUGUGAUUAUUUUUUGUAACAUGCACGAUUUCAGUUGGUGGCAUGCAUGUAAAGAAAAAAAAGGAGGCUUUAUGAACAAGUGCCCACAUCAAGUAGCCAAAGCAUGCAACUAUCUGGAAAAGUUCAUGAAUCAUGACCGUGAAGGCGAAAAAUGAAACGACAUUAAUUGUACCGCAUCCAAUUAAUGAUUUUAGAGACGGAUGGGAUAUAAAGUUAUGAAUUCAAUUGCAUCAACCUUUUAAUAUUUUGAGAAGCAUGUACCUAUAUCAACCUACAGUAAUUUUCUUGUAACAUAAGAUCAGUCACAAACCUCAUGGCCACCUGCUCCUGCGACCUUCUUCGAGUUGCUUGCAAACCUUGAAUGCCGACCUGCGUCACAAUUAAGUUUCAAGUCGUUAUAUUCUUGUGUACUUGUACAUGUCUGGUAUACGUAUAAACCUCAAUCAAGCGACAAAGUUUGAUUCCGAACCCUCUCAAGAAAUUUGUAACUGUUGUAAACCCACCUGCAGACGAUGCAGACAAAAGUGAUGCAGAAAUGAGGAGGAAGAGAAGACCAAUAUCCUUGAGGAGAAGCAUGAGCCCCAUUUUUUUCCACAAACUUUCUCUCGAAGCUCUUUUUGCUCGCCCAAAAGAGAAUAGAACCAAUGCUGAUGCCUUCUUUGUAUAUUGAACAAAGCACUUACAUUUAUUUAUCACUGCAUCUUUUAAAGAUAAGAGGAAAAUCGUAGUUUACUCUAAAGAACGGCAUAUCAAUUUAUACAAAUACUUUUCCGUUUAAAAUUGGAAAGAAAAAAGGUGAAGGAGACACCCUUUCUUUUGUUGGAGCACUAAGUCUACGUUUAGUUAGUGGAUUAAUAUAAUUAAGUCGACACCAAAGUGCAAUGGACCCUAUGAACAAGCAUUACGGAGUCCUUUGAUUUGAACGCACUAGUUCUCAACUUGUUCCAGCAACUAAUUGAUUGUAAAUGUACACCAAUUAUGACAAAAGUGCUAAUCUUAAAUUGAUUUAGUGUAUAUGUCAUUUCUAUAGAUAGAUGAUUCUGCAUAUACUUUUGUGUGUGUGUGUGUGUCUCUCUCUCUCUCUCUGUGUAUAUAUAUAUAUAUAUUCUCAACUCACUGCACAUCGAUAAAUCUAAUCUUUUUGUACAUUAUAUCUGGACACUAAUUUAUCAUCUCUUCCCAAUUUCUGAUUCAUAGUACCAAACCUAGUUUGUCCUGAAGUCUGCACUUUUGACAAUGUGUGCUUCUCUUACCAUUCAAAGGUAAACCUAAAAAUUCCUGACCCUGUCAUCAGAGGACAAGACCCUCGGUUGGUUCAUUAAUCACUAGUGUUGAUGCUGUACAUGUAGAUCAUCAUCACAUUUCUAGCGGUUGUGAGUGCAUGUGAUCUUGAUUGCCAGUGAAGAAACUGAUCCACUGUCUUGAUUUUAGAAUGAUUGACCCCUUCUAAGUUCUAACUCACACAGCCCUGCUCAUGAACUUACGAGAUGUCAUACCAGCAAAAUUCAAACUAUGGCUCUCAAUUGCAUUUCACUGGAUAGGUAGCAUGAUUUGGCCUACCCCAACAUAAUCUCAAGACUUGGGGGUACGUGCCCAAGCGGGGAAGGAAAAGCAAUUAUCUUGGUUGUAAAAUAGGUCCCCGUCACAAAUGAGAAGUUUUUUUUUUCUUUAUUAUUUAUUUAACAACCACUUUACGCAAUAUACAUGUAAUGCAACAAUUGGAUCUAGUGCUUCCAAUUAAUGUAUCCCGGAACAGCUGCAAGCCAACAAUGGACGCAUGGACUGGAGACAAUGGAUGAUGAAUAGGGUUUUUAGUCCAUGGUAUGGUUACAUCAAUUAGGUUUGGUAUAAAAAAAAGCUGUUGUGGACGAGUAGUGCUAUCAAUUAUCCAUAAAGACAAAGACAACGCACCAAAUACUCUUUGAAAGGACAGUGGUGGACGACAAAGAGAACCACUAUCACCUUAAAAUAUUCCAGUAUUCUGCGUCUUUUCCUUAAAGCAGUUUUAGGACAUGUAGCUCCCCAAAACUACGUUAAAUCUGUUCUGUUUAUCCUUAACAUUGAUUUUGUAAACAUUCUUCUUCUCCUGCAGUUGCUGUUGCAGCGGUAGGUCAUCAUUGCAACAGUUUCUGGCGGAUGGAAUUAACAGAACAAAGUAUGGAAGUGGCACAACAAACUUGUUCAGCGUGAAUCGAUUUGUCAUAAUAAUUCACUUAAAAAAUUUUCAACUUUUCACGUAUUCAUUCAAGUUUAAAUAAAAAAGAGAACAAGAAGAAGAAGAAGAAGAAGAAGAAGAAGAAAAUCAAUAUGCUCAUAGAACCAAAAAUUAGGCUAGUGUAGUUUUAUCUGAAUGGGUCGAAAAAUAUACACAGGAGACAAUAAACCACUCAAAUAUGAAGCAAGCAAUAGGUCGCACUUUCUAUGCAGCUCACACAUACAUAAUUUUGGUUCAGAACAACAGUUAGCCUGACUUAGAUGAUGAUGUUGGAACCUGCAGCUGAGAGCUUUCAUGGCGCAAACUGGUCUCCCUACUGUAUAUGGCCUUUGCACCCUGACAAGCAAUAAACAAUUCUUAGUAAUGUGGGUGUUAGUGUGUGUGUGCGCGCGCGCGUGCGCGUGCGCGUGCGAGAGAGAGAAUUUGCAUCUAGUUCUUGUUUCCUUACUUAACCCUGAUUCAUGGAGCCCUUGCUUACGUAAAUGUCAAACCAUUGCCCUUCGACCACUCAAUGAUAUACAAUGAAUAGCUUUUAAUGCGCCACCAAAAGUUCGAUACCACAUUUUUCCAAUAAAAGUUAAUAUCGAAGAGAGUUAUCUUAAUUGCAUCAACGAACCAAAUGCAAUUUGCCACAAAAUGGCAUACAAAGUGAUUUGAAGUUCCAUACAACGCCUGAUUUUAGCUAGUCUUUCCUUGUCAAGUCAAUCAAUCCUUCCAGAAGCUUUUCAUUUUUUAAACACUCGUGUCAUAAAAAAGGUAAUCUUUUAGUCCUUCCAUAAAAUAUUUUUUAUGCUAUUACCAGCGGAUGAUGCCUAAUUUCAAUUUUUGAUCUUCAUUUCAUAUAUCAAAGGCGUUCAGCUAUGUUUCUUAUUCUCCAACUAAUCCUCCAUUCCCCUGUCUACUAACUGUUUUCUCCUAUUCAGUUUUCUGUUGACCAGGACUUACAAUGCACAACUAUUACCAGGAGUAAGGAGCAACUAAAAGCAGGGGAGAUGAUGGAAUCAUAUUAUCCAUGAAUGAGAUCUUGGGAAACUACACAUACCUGGAAAAUUGUCCCAAGCUUUUUCAUAGCAUUUGCACGCAACUUGAGAACAUCCUUAGAAACACUAGGGUCUCGAAGCACCUGAAAUCAACAGAACAGUAGCACAUGGUUCGUUUCAGAGACGAACUUCAUACACUCGCAUUCCAAAUCGUAAUGGACAUAAAUCGAACUCAAGUUACCAAUAUAAGGAUGACAAUUUCUAAUGUAUAUUUUGGACCAAUAGAGACAUAAGAGCAGGAUAGGAUGAGAAUAGCAACCCCAAGCCAGAUAUUACAACUAAUCUGAAGCCAUUUAUUAUCAAUGAACUACACUUUUGCAUUACACUUCAUUGGAAUAUAUUGCAAGAUGACAUACAGAUUUACAAUAUGAAAUGUGAACCUUGGCCAAAUGGCCCAGAAGUGCUCUGCCAAAUAAUAGAAGGCUGGAACUUACAGCUUGACACACACGAGAUAAAGUCAUCUCAAUAUCUACCACAUUUAGCUGCCAAAGGGAGUUAAACAUUUCCUCCUUCUUCUCUUCAUAUGCUUUCAUUACACUCUCUUCAGAAAGUUCUCCUUGGUUUGACUUCUUCAAUUCCUCCUGCAGCAGAAGUAAAUUCACGGCACCUAGAAUCAGAAAUAAAACUUGUCAGGACUGUCUCAAAGUUAUCAAACAGUGUAUUCUAAAAGAUGCACAGAGCCAUUACCUGAAGCUGCAAUUACUUGCGAUUUUAUUCUAUGCCCUUUAUCUCUCACCCACUCUGCUAAAAAUGGAACCUUCAUAUACCGCUUGUCCUUCCCAAUUUCUCUUGCAGCCUGCCUGGUGUAGAUAUAACCGAUUGUAUGCAGCAUAGGCUCACCGAAAGCUGAAAAUUAUUCAAUUUGUGGCCAUUAACAGUUUACAAAAGAUUGGAGCAUUCUAAAAUCCCACUGGACAGCAGCAGACAAGUCUAGUUCAAUGCACAUGAUGCGACCCCAUUUAGUCAACCCCUCAAACAGAUAACAAUAAGAAAGAUGACUGUUGUUCUUGCUGAAAAAACACCAAUCUUCAUAAAGAGAAUAUAGUUGCAAUGUAAUAGGUCUUUGCUAGGCCAGCAACUCUUAGAGCCUAAAGUCCUAACCUCAGAUACUUCUAGGGCAACUUGCUCCUUCCAAACAUCCUCAAGGCACUGUAAGACUAGCCUAGUAACUUAUUAGAACCUCUAGCUUAAAUGGUUAAAACCAUGUUGAAAAAAGUACAAUACUUAAGAUCUUAUUAGCCACUCAGAUCCUAUCCAGACAUCAAAUGUGAGACAAAUAGUUGGUGCAUGACAAAAGCGCAAAUCAAUCCCCAAAAAAUAUAUACUUUUAUUAAAUUUUUUUUAGAGAGGAUCAACAGUGGCCUCUCACUCACCCUCGUGAUAACUCGAAGCCAUGACCUCUCGGUUACAAGUGAAGCAUUUUACCAACUAGGCCAUGCUUCGUUGUCAAAAAAAUAAUACUUAAGUUAACCAGACACUAUGGCAGUGAGAUGCCAUUAAUUUACAAAGGCAUUAAUCAAUUCAACAAGUACAGCUUCUGAAGAUCAAAUGAGGCAUUAUAACUGUAAACAGUCAAAAAAUGCCAGCGAUGCCUAAACACAAGUGCCAUGAGCAAAUUCAACCCAAAAGGAAGAUAGAUUCAACAAUUUGACCUUGUGCAAAAUCUACAUCACACCUAAAUUCGUAGCUCCUUGAGUGCCCAAAGUUCUACAUUUGGACUAGGACAUGUAAUUCAGAGGGCUAUAAUUCAACUGCUUUCAGUUCUUCUUAAGGCUACAUGAUGCUGAACUGCAGAGAAACUUAACAAGUUACAAUGUUCCAUUACUGUAAAUUAUCUCACAUACAGCAUGUGUCAGGCUGUGAACCUGAAAAAGAAAUUUGACAAACAAAAUGACAAAUCUAAAAGAAGUGAAAACACAUGACACUGAUACACAUUCACGCUUAAUUCAAUUCAAAAACAUUGAACUCCUGAAGGAACAGAACAUAAUCUCUAGUAAUAACAGGGUCAGACUUUGCAGAAGAUCAUAACAGAAAACUUCUCCUAUUUUUCAACAAAUUGAAACAUCAAGGGAACCAUUAGGAGACAAUAACAAAGUGCUCAGUUUGUUUAUGGUGAAAUGAACCUCAUGAAAAAUAGUUAACCAUGACCUGGGUUGUGCAACAGAAUUUGUCCAAUAAGUACAUGUGUAUAAUUCUUGAAGCAUCUUAAAUAGAAUAGAUGGAUUUGUUCACAAGAUCAUUAGUCACUACGUAGAUUUCAUGCUUACACAUUUAGACUUGGAUAGGACAGUUACCAGCCAAAUUCACAUUUCUCAUCUAGCUGUCAAGAGUCAAUGUACUUGAUUGCGUUAAAGUACAACAGAAAGCUGAGUUCUAAAGUGAUUAAAGUUCCUCAUGCAUAGCAAAAUGUUCAUAUCAACACCUAAAAGUCAUACCAGCAUGAGAAAGACGACGAGCUUCUGCUUUUGCCCAUUCCACAAACUCAUUGGUUCGACCUUCAACAAAGGGUUGUAGACGAUCUUUCAAAUUUCCUAUGAGCUUCUCUUCUCUGUCCUUUUGCAAUGCCUGGGCAUGAGCACUUAAAUUGCAGUAAUACACUUGUAAUACACAGAGAUUGCGUACAAUCCCAAGAAGGAAUAGAAGUAUAAGAACACAGUCAGCAUCUUGACAAUUGCAAUUACCUUUAACUUUUCCUGAAUUUUCUGAGUGCGCACAUCAGGAUUUUCUGAGUUAUCAUCAAUUUCAACCCCUGCCAAAGAAGCCAAUCGAAGUUGCCCCACAUAAUCUUCAAAGAAGUCACUCCCAAAUUGCAUGCCAAACACAGUUGCAGGGUCCACCAUGGUGUCUCUAAGCAAAUGAAAACAGAUGACGAAGGCUAAGAAACCUUUCUAAUUUGUUCCAGAAGAAAGUAGAUGACAAUAAUGGCCUUUUCAAUGAAAAUAUCUACAGAAGAUGAAUUCACAAAACUUUAUGCCACCAUAUGCAUUUAACAUGUUUCAAUAUGCCUCAGAAAAGUGCAAGCACAUACUGCGCUACUCCAUCUUUUCCAUAUUUGUCGUACGUUUCACGCUUUGCUGGGUCACUCAAUACCUGAUAUGCCUCCCCAAGUACCUUCAAAGAUGAUUUCAACAAAUUAGUUCCCAGUGGCAAAUUAGUCUCAAAUUUGAUUAAGCUUUUACUAUCCAAACAAUAAAACAAUUAUUAAAGAGUAAAAUGUUCAAGGAAAUAGUCAUUCACCCAAACAAGACUUUCGAUUGCUAAAAAUAAGAGCUAUUUGCACAAAAAUAAUAGCAGCAUUGUGGUCAACAAGCAUUUUGGAAGGGUUGUGGCUAAUCUAAUUAGACUGAAUUCUCGAAUCAUAUAGAUAGAACUAUUUACCUGGAAAUUAUGAGCAGCCUUGGGGUCGUUGGGAUUUUUGUCUGGGUGCACUACCCUUGCCUGAAACAGGUAAAAGAAAAUCGUACAAUUAGUAAGUUGUCAACAGCCAUAGGAGCAUUCUCUACUGUAAAGUUUGGCAUGGAACAAAACAUAGCAACAUUUCCAGAAUGAAUAUAGCUUAAAUCAAAACUUGAUUUCUUUGUGUAGUGGUAAUUAUAGCAUAUUAUCUUAAUAGGGUUACUAAUUACUCAUGAAAAGCUCACAUUACCAUAAAGGUCUCACCUUUAGGUAGUAUGCUUUCUUAAUCUCGGCAGGAGAUGCAUCUAUACUGACACCCAAGAUAUCAUAGUACUCGGUUUCCUUCACCAUAGCUCAGAAAGAAGCUCUUAUUACCUUCUCAAUUACUCAACUGAGAAAAGAAAAGAAAACCCAAUUACACAACAAAUCAAGCACAAAUGAAACAACGGUUUCCAUGGCUUGCAACAGUGGCAUAUUGGUUAGGCCUAGGUUUAUUUGGUUGUACAAAAAGACGUACUGAAAUUGCUGAAGGCCGCCCUCAAAAAUGUAUGUAUAUGACAGGUAUCCAAGAGAUAAAAAGACGUAAAGCAGAAUAUUUCCCACAAGACUGGUAAAUAAAGAACAUAAACUUAGCUCUGAUGAAAUCAGAAAGAGAUCAGAGCUGAAUCAUACAUGCAAGAAACAAAAUAGAGAACAAUUAGACACGUAACUAAAAUAAUGAAACUCAGAAUUAACAAAAUAAUAAAAUACGGCAAUUUCGAAAUGGACAGCAAAACUAACCAGACAAAAACAGGAACUGACCCCAGAUGCAAUUUUGCAAUGUAAAUUGCGUAUCAGUGAAGACAACUAGCUCAAAUAUGAAAUAUAGCUGUGAAGAAUGAUGGGAAAUUGAAGCCUAGAGAUUCGACAAACAAUUACAGUGAUAGAUAGAAGGGGAGAUGGCGACAGCCUUACUUGAUUGUUUGUAAUGAUUGAUUCCCACUAUCUCCCGGACGUUUGCUGAAUGAAAAAAUAAAACGAGAAAGAAGAAAAACAACAAUAUAUGAUCUCAAUCUGCUCUGGCCACAAAUAUACCUCGCCUGUGAUUUUUUUCCAGUAGCAGUUCUAUAAUUGGGUCCUGGGAUCCUACAAGGGAGAGACAAGAAAUUUUCUCAUGAACACGGGCACGUCCUUGAUAAAAUUCUCGAAUCGCGAUACUAUACAUGUUGUAAUAGAUAUAUAAUUAUUAGAUAUCGUCCAACUCUGACAGCAGUACGUCGGUGUUUCUUAACCGCGUAGCGGGCACCCAAUAACGGAUAUCCAAGGGGUGAAAAUGCUACAGAGUGAUGGACCGUCUCUAGAAGAUAGAUACCUUAGGCCCCGGAAUAAAUAAAUACGGCUGGUUAGUUGGUGCCAAUAUGUAUCAUGUUCAAAUUGGAAAUGAAAGUUCAUUCAUUUUGUGGAAUUGUUCUUUUAUAUAUAUAUAUAUAUAUAUAAUGAUUUGUUUGUAAUAGACUUAAAUGGUAAUUUCAAAAGAUUGUAUUAGAGUAAGAGUUUUAUUCUUAUUAUUAUCUCCUAUCAACUUUUUCUUUUUUGUCUCGCUCUCAUGACAUUAGUUUUAGUAAGCGAGUUUCAUACUAAGCUAGUCAUUUGUGAUACUUAUAAUUUGGUUAAAAUUAAUCGAAAUGAGUUAAUGGGUAUGAUAAGUCUAUGGAUUUUGCGACCCUCUACUUUUUAGUGGCUACCUACCGAUGUUUUAAUUAAAAUUAAAAAAGAUAAAGAAAUAUUAGAGGAAAUUGAGAAAGUGGAGGAACUAUAGAAGAGAAAGGAGUACAAAAAAGAGGGGAAAAAAUGUAAAACCUAUGCUUAAAUUUUAGGUACCAAACAUUCUACUAUAUGUUUCAAGAAAAACCAAAUACCAUUAACUAGCUAAUUAUAAUUACAGCGACCUUGAUAAACAUUUAUCAAAAGGCUCCAGAUCAGUUUAUUGAAUCCGACAGUCUAACCCUAAUAAAUGACCAUUCCACUAGGUGGUAAUAAUCAAAUGCAAAAAAAAAAAAAAAAAAAAAGUGAAAGCCCUCGACAGCAGAAAAGAAAUAUAUGACAAAGGAGUUUGAUGUCAUUUGACAUGGAAUUCCUAUACGCAUAAAUCCACGUACCAGAAUAUAUCACUAUCUACUAUUUGCAUUUCCAAUUAUGUUGAAAAUGGGUAAGAAUUUUAUUCAAGUCAUAUGAUUGUUUUUAACUGUUCUUUGUUUUUUUUCCGUUUGGUGUCCACAAUUAUUUUAGGUUGUGUUUGGAUUAAGAAAGAGCAAAUGAGAAGUCUCUGCAUUCAAGAAUAGUCAAGGCCUCUAUGUAGUGUAGGUAUGAGUUUUGAUUGAAUGAUUCACUCCAAUUUGACAUUCAUAAGCACUUUCUGAGCAGUUUAAUUGAUAAAAUGCUUUUGUAAUGGACGGGUUACGAGUCUGAAUCAUCACAGUAUUGGUUGAAGCUGCUGAGCACUUCUUUUUUUUUUUUUUUCGGUUUGGGCUUACAUAGAUGAAUUGUGGUGGUUCCCGCGUGUUGACGGCUCAGGCUGAUGCGACUGCCAAAAAUCAGAUCCGAGCUGACCUGUAGCAAGCCGGGCCAAGUCGUCCUGGGAGGAUUAGCUGAGCUACUGGUCCUGUGAAGGAAAGGGGGAAUUGCGGGACUGGCGUCCCUGAAAUAACUCCGACGAUCAAGUCAGUAAGCUUGUCCACAAAGUGAUAGUUUAGAGUACUCGUGUUUGCGUACCUUGUAUUGUCUCUAGGCAUGGUUUAUAUAGGGCAGAGUGGGUUGUAGUUUCCUUGUGGAAGUCAGAAUCCCCGUAGGGUUCGGAGUCUUCUUAGGGUUUCGUGCGGCGGCUCCUACAAGUUCGGAGGCGGCGGCCCAUAGGCCCAUCUCAGGGAGCGACAGGUAAGGCCGAGCUGGCAUCCACAUGCCGAGCUAGCGCCUGCGAGUCGUGAGGUCUCCACCGUCGACCUGACGCGUACAACCUGCCGAGCUGACACGUGUCACGUGCAGAUUUGUCCCACUACACUAGCCCCCUUGAGUCUAGAGUCACUGAUGAGUCACGUGGGUCUGGACCAAACUUCGAAGCGUCACGUCGGCUUCGUGCGGGACCCACGAUCCCACGAUCACGUACCUUCUCCUAAAAACUGCCACGUCCGCCGUCGUAACCGUCACUUCAAGGGUCACGUCCUUCAUGAUGGAGGUUUUGUCAGCUCAAGCGUUUUCCAAGGUAACCGCCCCCUUGCAAUAAAUUCGAAUUUCUUCCUCAGGACUCUUCGGCUUCCCGCCCAGGGAGCCUAUAAAUAGGCCCCACCAAACGUCACUUUCAAGCCUCCCUUCUCAUUUUCUCUUCUCCUCCAGUCUUCUUCAGCUCGCUCCGCAUUCCGUGAGGUCGUCCGAGAGUAGGAUUACCUUCUAAGCACAUCCCAGCUCUUCUCCUUUAUCCACCAGUAAGUCCUCCUUUUCCUUUUAUGUCGUCUUCCUCCACACACUCAGACCUUACCAGCUCAGCACCUAGGCGUAGGAUUACCCGACCUGCACUCAUAGAAAUACCUUCCUCCAGCCCCUCUUCUUCCAGCUCGUCUGAUUCUGAAUACCUUCCUCCCCCAACCCCACCUCUUGCUAUAGCCAUGGACCAACCUGGCCCAUCUGCUCAGCUCGGGACUGGAGCUGCUGUCCCAGGGAUUCCUCUGGAGGUAGUUCCAGCUCGCUCUAGGGCAGGACCCCCUAGGGGGCCAGACAUCGACUUUGGAGAAGUCGAAAUUAUUCCCCCCUUCUCGACCAGGGGGACGUAGAUGAGCUGGUGGGGAGGUAUGACAUCCUUCCCCAGUUCGAGGCUAGGGCAGCCCGGCUAGGGGAGUACGCUUGCCAACCUCUCCCUGGGUUUGUAGCUAUCUACAGGGAUCAGCUCGUGGCUGGUCUUCGCCUUCCCAUUCCCCAAUUUCUUUAUGACAUCCUAACCUUCUGGGGCAUUCGAAUCACCCAGGUCGUUCCCAACGCUAUUCGGUCCAUCCUCGGCUUCUUUAUUUUGUGUCGAACUCUUGAAAUCCCUUAUUCCCUGAACUUAUUUAGGUCCUUCUUUCAGAUGAAGGUAAGCGGCCCAGUUCAUGGUUGGUUCUACUUUGCUCGCAGGAGCGGAGGGGAACUCCCUACCCGCGAGCUGUUCACUCAUAUGCCUUCUCCAUCAAGGGCUGGAAAGCCCAGUUCUUUUUUGUGAAGAAUACUGGGUUUCCUCCCCUAACUUGGAGGGAGGAUACCCAGGUAACCGAUCCAAUCCCUUCUCCUCUGCCCGAGGCCGAGCUAGACCGCUUGGUCAGCUCGGAAGCUCAACUGAAGGUGAAGGAAUUUAACAAUGCCCAACUCUGGUCGGCGGGGCUAAUCCGAGUAGAGGUGAACGACCCUGCCCCCGAUCUCCGACCUAUCACCCCCGAGGAGCUGACAGCUUGUAAUUUUCUCGACCUCCUCCUUUCCAUGAGUCCACAUCACCCUAACUGACUAAGUGUUUUUGCCCUGCAGUGAAGAGGUUUUCCCAACUGCUGAACAUUGGCGGAACUGGUAGCGCGAGCACGCCAACUCCUGCGCCUUCCACUGCGCCGAGCAGCACGGCUCCUCUACCUCCACCUGUGUCCACUCCCCAGACUGCCGCUCAGUCUUCACUGGGGGAAGGACCCAAGAAGAAAAGAAAGAAAUCCACGGCCAAGAAGGCCAGGACAGAGGCGGCUUCCCCCCAGUCCCAGGAGGAGCCCUCUACUGCCGUUACCUCUCAUUACGGGGUGAGCUCCGCCGAGCAGCAGGCCUCGUCACAAUCUCCCCCCGCUAUGUGGCGCAUGAGGAAUGUGAUUCCCAUGAAACCCUCUACCGAACUGGGCUCACACCCACACCCCCUCCAUUUCUGCCCGAAGUGGGGGUUGUCGGUGAACGACCGAGCUCAGUUCCCUGAAGUGGCGAAGGAGCUCGUCAAGGGCGCGGUGCUCCCCCGCGAUCACCACUUCAUCCAACUUGCCUCCAAUGCCGAGCUGCUAGAGCACUUCUACCUCAGCACCACCCAGGUAGCUCCUUAACUAGCACUUUCUUUGGCAUCCUUCCGAGUUUUGCUGCCUACUUAUCCCAUGACUGACAUGCAGCUCAAUGUUGUGGGGGCCGAGCUGGCUCAGCGGUAUGAGAACAUGGGGGCCAACCUGUCCCAGGUUGACGCUGCCAAGGAAAAGUUGUCGAGCCAGCUCGAGGCUGCAAAGACCGAGCUGGAGACCCUGAAGAAGCAGCUUGCAGAUGACAACUCCUCCUGUGAAUUGGAAAAGAAGAAAGGGGCCGAACUGGCUGCGACUCUGGAGGCAGAGCAGAAAAAAUCUGCCGAGCUAGUGGAGGCGGCAAGGGAAGAAGGACGCCAGCUAGGCGUCAAAGAGUUCAAGAAGUCUGAGGGCUUCAUGAACGACCUGGCCCUCCUAAACGGCCCUGUCCUGCAACUCGGCUACACGAAAGCCUUGGUGGAUGUGGAGUCCCUGAAGUUGCCGGGCUUUGACCUGAGCAAAUGGCCUGACUUCAACCCCCAAUCCACCAACCAAAUUGACAGGCUUGUCACGGGCUAUUCCAAUGGCCGCGACCUGGCCGCCUUGAUUGCCGACCCGACUCUUCCCGCACUCUCCCCAGAGCCAGAGCAAGAACAGCAAGGGGAGAGCUGAGCAAAUAGGGGAGAGCUGAGCAAAUAGGGCAUAGCCCAGACUUGUAGGGUUUAGGCUAGAUUAGGGACCGAGCUGGCCAGCUCGCUUUUGUAUGGCCCCCCACCUGUACAUGCUUUGUGAUAUGGAAUAUAUGUGGCCUUUUUCUUUCCUAACACUUGCAAAAAAUUUCUCUUUAUUCCAAAGUUUGACUACAUUUAUAAAUCCAAAUGCCGAACUAAUAAAACAAGAGUGGACCUAUCCAGCUGGCUAUUAGCAGCUCGGUCAGAAUAUUAAAGAAAAAGCCUUAAAUUUGAGUUGUGCCAAGUGCGUGGGACUUCGCCUCCCUCCAGACGAGCUAGCUUGCAAUAACCUGCUCGGUCAGUUUCCUUUAUGACAUAAGGGCCUUCCCAAUUCGGGUCUAACUUGCCUGUGCCCACAGCUCGGCUUACGAAAUUUUUGCGUAGCACCAGGUCUCCUGGCUUGAAAGAGAGGUGCCUUACCUUGGCAUUGUAGUAACGCGCGACCUGGCCUUUAUACUUAGCCAUUCUUAUAGCUGCUUCUUCCCUUCUAUGCUCAAGCAGGUCCAGGUCGAGCCGCAUUCCUUCCUCGUUGCUCUGAGCCACGAAGUGCUGCACCCUGGAUGAUGGCAUCCCAAUUUUCGCAGGGAUUACCGCUUCCAUUCCAUAGGCCAGAGCAAAUGGAGUUUCCUGAGUAGCCGUCCGAGGCGUAGUCCGGUAAGCCCAAAGUAUAGUGGGCAGCUCGUCUAGCCAACCCGUUCGGGCAGAUUCUAUCCUUGUCUUUAAACCGUGCAGGAUGGUUCUGUUGACAUUCUCGACCUGCCCGUUGGCUUGGGGGUGCCCUACCGAGGUGAAGUGCUGCCGGAUGCCGAGCUCAGUGCACCACUCUUGGAGCGAACGAUCCGCGAACUGUCGGCCAUUAUCCGAGACGAGAGCCCUGGGUAUGCCAAAUCGGCAGAUUAUGCCUUUCCACAGGAACUUCUGGAUCGACCUGCUGCUGAUCGUACCGAGGGGCUCAGCCUCCAUCCAUUUGGUGAAGUAAUCAAUAGCUACUACCAAGUAUUCAUAACCUCCCGGAGCUCGUGGGAAUGGUCCCAGCAGGUCAAUUCCCCACUGGAAGAACGGCCAGGGGCUGCUAAGUGGGAUCAUUUCCUGAGUGGGAGUAUGAUGAAUUGGAGCGUGUAGCUGGCAAGACUUACACCGAGCCACUAGCUCGGCCGAGUCUCGGAAGAUGGUCGGCCAAUAGUAUCCGGCCAGCAUUCCCUUUUUGGCCAAUACCCUGGUACCUACAUGAUUACCACAAAUGCCCUCAUGCAGCUCGCGCAGGACAUAGCCCCCUUCCUCUGGUGUUAUACACUUCAGCCAGGGCUGCAAGUAGGAUUUCCUAUACAGGACUCCCUGCGCGAGCGUGUAUUUCUGCGACUUAAGGAGAAUUUUGCGGGCCUCUAUCCUGCUCAGGGGGAGCUCCCCCUGUGCCAAGUAUCGAACAAUAGGAUCCAUCCAAGAGUUCACCACCUGGAUGACCGCAGUACUGACCUGGUCAUACGCACGACUUCUGACGACCUCCACCACUAUCUCCCGACCUAGGAUGCCAGCCGAGGUGGAGCCCAGUUUGGACAGGGCAUCAGCUCUCUUGUUCUGGCUCUGCGGGAUCUGUUCCAGUGCGAACUGCUCGAACAGGCCCUUUAGUUCGUGUAUUUUGGCCACGUAUUUUUUCAGCGCCCCCUCUUUGACCUCGUAGCUUCCCCCGACCUGGUUCACUAUCAGCUGCGAGUCGCUAAAAAUUUUCAACGACCUGGCACCUAGCUUCCUGGCCAUCUCCAUUCCUGCAAUUAGAGCCUCAUACUCAGAUUCAUUAUUAGAGGCUCUGAAAUCAAACCUUACUGCAUAGGGUAGCUCUUCCCCAGUGGGGCUGAUUAGGAGGAGUCCGGCACCACAUCAUUCUUUACUCGACGCGCCAUCCACGUACAACGUCCAGACGGGAUCAGCUCGCCCUACAGCUUCGGUAACCUUUCCAUCCUGGGCAGUCUCUCUGGCCAGUUCAGCCUUAACGACUUCUCCAGGGUACGUGGCCUCGACAGCGUCUAUGGUCUGUCCGACCUCAGCUGCCUCCUUAGUCUUCCCGACCUUGGCAGUCUCGCGAGUCUGUUCGGCCUUACCUGCUUCUCCGACCUGUCUGUUCCUGGUGGUCUUUUCGGCCUGCUGGGCCAUAGCUGCCUCAUCAAGCAGUCCGACCUCUGCUACCUGGCCGACCUGGUGACCUCGGCAGCGUCUCCGGCUUUUGCGACCUCUGCUGCUUCUUGGGUCUGCGUGGUCUUGGUAGUUUUCGGGGUUUGUAAGGCUUUAGCCUGAUUGACGUCUGUCUCGGGCGGUCCAAAGGAAACGCCAUCUGCUAUGAAGUCUGCUAAUGCUUGAGCCUUGAUGGCUGUCCUAGGCUGAUAUCCCAGAUCGUACUCUGAUAAUUCCACAGCCCAUUUCACCAUUCGACCCGAGGACUCGGGCUUGGAGAGGAUCUGCUUCAGGGGCUGGUCCGUCAUAACCACCACAGGAUGAGUUUGGAAGUACGUCCUGAGCUUCCGAACUGCAUGUCCUAAUGCCAAAACAUACCGUUCUACGGCCGAGUACCUUGCCUCGACUCCCUGCAGGGCGCGGCUGACAUAGUAUACGGGUUUCUGGACUUUGUUUUCCUCCCGAACCAGCACCGCGCUAAUGGCCCCCUCUCCCGCAACUAAGUAGAUGAACAGGGUUUCCCCCAACUCGGGAGAGGUCAGGGCUGGCAACCGAGCGAGGUGUUCCUUUAGCUCAUCAAACGCUUUUUGGCACUCUAGACUCCAUUCAAACUGCCGACCUCCCUUCAGGGCCUUAAAGAAAGGCGACCCCCGAACCGCCGAUUUAGACAGGAACCUGUUCAAGGCCGCCAUCCUCCCAGUCAAACGUUGCACCUCCUUAAUAUUCCGAGGUGGAGCCAUGUCCAUAAUAGCCUUGAUUUUGUCCGGGUUAGCCCUCACCCCUUCUCUAGAAAUCAUGUAACCCAAGAAUUUUCCCGAUCUGACCCCAAAGGUACACUUUUUUGGGUUUAGCCUCAUCCGUGAGCUCCGGAGGACCUCAAAAACUUCUCUUAGGUCAGAGAUGAAUUGCUCCUGAGUGCGACUUUUUACUAACAUAUCAUCCACGUAGACUUCCAGGUUUCGGCCGACCUGAUUCUUGAAUAACUUGUUUACCAACCUCUGGUAGGUCGCGCAUGCAUUUUUUAGCCCGAAUGGCAUGGUGACAUAGCAAUAGGUUCCGUCCUCGGUGAUGAACGAGGUCUUCUCCUGAUCCUCCUCGUCCAGGGCUAUCUGAUGGUACCCCUUGAAAGCGUCCAAGAAACAGAAAAUCUCAUAACCCGCUGUUGAGUCCACCAGCUGAUCAAUCCGUGGAAGUGGGUAGCAGUCCUUUGGGCAGGCCUUAUUUAAGUCUGUGAAAUCCACACACAUCCUCCAUACCUUCUCCUCCUUCUUGACCAGCACCGGGUUGGCUAGCCAGGUUGGGUAGUAGACCUCCUUAACGAUCUUAGCCUCCAGCAGCUUACUCACCUCGCCUCGGACGACCUCCUUUCGCUCGGGAGCAAAGCUCCUCUUCUUCUGCUUCACAGGUCGGACGCCGGGGUCCACAUGCAGCCUGUGAACGGCCAGCUCGGUCGGGACACCUGGCAUGUCAUCUGCACUCCAUGCAAAGAUCUCUGCGUACUCUUCUAAGAGAGAUUGCAAGGAAUCCCGAAUUGAAUCGCCCAGGCAGGUGCCGACCUUGACCGUGGGCUCAGGCUGGUCAAGGCGGACAGGCAACUCGGUCAGCCCUUCAUCCGUCUCCAACCUUUCCCCCUUCUCCAGGGGCUCCCAAGGUUCUAAACAAGUAGUUUGGGCUACCAAUUUCUCCUUGCCUUUAAGGGUGGCAAUAUAGCAGGCCCUGGCUACUUCCGGAUCUCCGAGCACCUCUGCCACCCCAUCCGGGGUGGGGAACUUCAUACUGAGGUGCAAAGUGGAACAAACAGCUCGGAGGGCAUUCAAAGUUGGCCGUCCCAGGAUUAUGUUGUAGGAAGAGGGCUCUUUCACCACCGUAAAGUUCACCGGAACAGUCCGGCACCUCGGUGAAACUCCCACUGUGACCAUGAGGGUUAUCAUUCCUUCUGGCCUCACAGGAGGACCUGCAAACCCGAUUAACGGAGUUCGCACCGGGAUGAGUUGCCUGUCUUCCAGCUGCAGCUCCUUGAAGGUUUUGUAAUACAGCACAUCUAUGGCACUUCCAUUGUCUAUGUAUACCUUUUUCACCUUGUAGUUACAGGUGACGACCUCUAUCACGAUGGCCUCAUGGUUAUUAGAAGCCAGAGGUACUGCAUCCUCAGGUCCAUAGAUAAUUUCCUCAUAUACCUUCAAUCGCUUCGCCGAGCUCUCCCCCGUGGGAGGGGGGCGGUUGUGCCGCCGAGCUGUAUGACUAUCCCCGCCGGCAGGUCCCCCGGCAAUGGUGUUAAUCACCCCUGCCAGAUUCUGUGUUUCCUGCUCGGGAGUUCGGCCUCGAUGCCCCUGAGGUCGGUUAGGGGGGUAGCUCGGUCGUUCCGACCUAGGCCUUCCCCGUUGGGGAUCAGCUCGUUCGUCUCGCACGAACUGCCCCAAGUGACCUCGUUUGAUCAAUUUUUCAAUGUCCUUCUUAAGGUGACGACAGUCCUCCGUGUCAUGCCAUACGUCUCGGUGAUAUGCACAAUAUAGCCCCUGGUCUCGUCUACUUUUGUCCCCACCCAGGGGUCGGGGAGGUCGGGACAGCCCCUCCUGCUCCAUCACCGCGAGGACCCGAGCGCGGGGCGCAGUAAGUGUAGUCCAGGGUUUGUCUCUCCCCAUGGGGCGGUUCCUGGGUGGACAGUCGUAGGCACUCUUCCUGCCCAAGACAGAUCGCGCAUCCACCUGGUCAGUGCCCCUCCUGCGCUUGUCGUCCCUCAGUCUUUCCUGCGCACUCUUCAAGCGGUUGUCCUCCUCCGCAUUGGCCUUCUCGUGCGCGCGGUCUAGCAUCUCCCGAACUGACUUGGGUGGUCUCUCCACCAGCUCGGUGUAGAGCUUCUGUUUGCGCAGCCCGUUGAUGAAGGCUGCCAUGACCACCUUGUCAUCGCGAUCCCUGACCUGAAGGGACUCGUUAUUGAAACGCACCAUGUAUUCGCGUAAGGAUUCCUCGGGCCUUUGCUGAAUGGUCAUUAGGUGCGCCGUGCUCUUGGAGAAGGCUCGUGAUGAGACAAAUUGGGCUGCAAACAGCCGAGCAAGCUGAGCAAAGGACCUAAUGGACUUGGGGGGAAGCCCCUGGAACCACUGACGUGCCUUCCCCUCCAGAAACAUGAGAAAAGUCUUGCACCUGACCGCAUCUGCUGCCGUUUGCAGACGUAUUUGGGUCAGGAAUGCAAACAAAUGAUCCUCCGGAUCCGUGGUCGCAUCGUAAGGCUUCAUGCUAGGUAUCUUGAACUUCGCGGGCAACGGAUAGUUCUCUAUAUCAGGCAUGAAAGGGGACGCGAUAUACCUGUCCGCCUUGGCAUCCAAGAGCAGGUCCAGCUAGUCCUGCACCUGGAGCUGCUCUUUCCGAGGUGAGGGCUCAUCCUUAGAAUACCUCCGGACAGGCUCCGGGUGCUCAGUUCGGGAGUGCUUGUGAGUGGGUUCCCCCACGUCGAUGUGCUCGCUUGAGGGCUCCCGGCGCACUCGUUUGAGCUGGGGGUUGGGCCUCCCAGUCCUGGACUCGGUUGGACCCUCCGAGUUCUUCGGCUCCUGGCCCAGAGGCCCUCCUGUCUGCCCCCUGAGGUAACUCACAAUGGCCUCGAAAGUGGGCAGACUUCCUGCUACCGCUUGAACCAGUUGCUCCGGCGGGAUCCGCGAUGGUCCCGUCCCCUCGCCUCUAGGGGUCGGACUCCGGGCAGACUGUUGGAGGCCGCUUCCUCCGUUCCCCUUGGAUCCAUCGGCAUUCCUCUGAGACCUCGUUCUUGGCAUGGUUCGCAAGAGAAGUUACGUGUUCCCACAGACGGCGCCAAUUGAUGCGACUGCCAAAAACCAGAUCCGAGCUGACCUGUAGCAAGCCGGGCCAAGUCGUCCUGGGAGGAUUAGCCGAGCUACUGGUCCUGUGAAGGAAAGGGGGAAUUGCGGGACUGGCGUCCCUGAAAUAACUCCGACGAUCAAGUCAGUAAGCUUGUCCACAAAGUGAUAGUUUAGAGUACUCGUGUUUGCGUACCUUGUAUUGUCCCUAGGCAUGGUUUAUAUAGGGCAGAGUAGGUUGUAGUUUCCUUGUGAAAGUCAGAAUCCCCGUAGGGUUCGGAGUCUUCUUAGGGUUUCGUGCGGCGACUCCUACAAGUUCGGAGGCGGCGGCCCAUAGGCCCAUCUCAGGGAGCGACAAGUAAGGCCGAGCUGGCAUCCACAUGCCGAGCUAGCGCCUGCGAGUCGUGAGGUCUCCGCUGUCGACCUGACGCGUACAACCUGCCGAGCUGACACGUGUCACGUGCAGAUUUGCCCCACUACACAGGCCUAGAAAACUUAUUGUUGGCCCACUUUCAAAACAUCUCGAAAUCAUUCCCGCGCGCUGAAGGCUCAGUGCCCCAGCCGGCCAGCCGUAAAACAAAAGCAUUCCCGCCGGCAGCUGCCAUCCUGAAGCUGUUAGUAUACUGCUGUCUUCUGCCCUCCGAGGCUCCAUUUCCAAGUACAAUAACAUGGAAAUCGCUACUAUGGCUCAAGCUCUGCAGCUCCAUGCCCAAGUCCUCAAGUCUGGCUGCCAAAACCAUAAUCCUAGUACCGAACAAACCCUCAGCAAGCUCUUUACCUUCUCAGCUCUCUCGCCCUCAGGUAGCUUGUCCUACGCCCGCCUUAUCCUUAAUUCCCUCCAAACCCCAAAUUCUUAUUACUAUAACACGAUUAUGAUUCGAGCCUAUUCCGACUUAACCCACCCUGCCCAAGCCAUUAGCCUAUUUUUAGCAGCAAUGCAGAAUCCGCCAUCUCCUGGUACACCUCGACCGGACAAGUUCACUUGUCCCUUUGUCCUCAAAGCUUGCUCCAAAUUACGUCAAAUCCCUCUUGGAGAACAACUCCACGGACUAGUCUGCAAGUUGGGUUUUGGGCCGGAUAUGCAUAUAAGCAAUGCAUUGAUUCGUAUGUAUUCAGCUGGCGGUGUUCCGGACCUCGCGUUCAAGGUGUUUGACAAAAUGCUCGAGAGAGAUGUGGUGUCUUGGACUUCUAUAAUCGAUGGGCUUGUGGAUAAUGAUAAACCCGUUAAAGCUAUAGCUUUGUUUGAGCACAUGUCGGAAAAUGACGUUGAAUGUAAUGAAGCAACGGUUGUUUCGGUUCUUAGAGCUUGUGCUGAUACUGGUGCUCUUAGUAUGGGUAGAAAAGUUCAUGAUCUGGUUAGGGAGAAGAAGCUUAUUAGUUUGAACGGUAAAGUUAGCACGGCUCUCAUAGACGUGUAUGCGAAAUGUGGGUGCAUAGAUGGUGCGAAGGAGGUAUUUUCUGAAACAGUGAACAAGGAUGUUGUUACAUGGACUGCAAUGAUUGCUGGCCUUGCCAUUCAUGGGCAGUGUGAAGAGGCUACGGAAUUGUUUGAUAAGAUGAAGGGUCUUGAUAUAAAGCGAAGAUGAGAGGACAUUGACUGCGCUUUUAUCAGCUUAUAGGAAUGGGCAUAUGGUGAGUGAAGGCUUGGCUUGCUUCAGAACUAUGAAGAAGAAGUAUAAGAUCAGGCCUAAAAUGCAGCAUUAUGGUUGUGUUAUAGACAUGCUUGUUCAAGUUGGGCAUUUAGAAAAUGCUGAGACAUUUAUGAAUAAGAUUCCUGUUGAACCGGAUGCUGUCCUUUGGAGGAGCUCGAUAAGGGCCUGUCAAAUUCAUGGAGAUGUAGAGAGGGGUGAACGUCUGAUGAAGCAUUUUGAACUAUUGAAAUUGGAUUCCAAUGACUCUGGAGCUUAUGUUGUUCACCGGAAUAUCCGUGUGUCUGAGGGUAAAUGGAAGGAGAAUGGCAAAACAAGAGCAUUGACCAAUCGAAAAAAACUUCUGAGGGCCUCAGGGUAUAGUCGAACGGAGAUCAACGGUGAAAUUUAUGAAUUUACCACUGGUGAACUGGGGCAUGUUGAAGUGGAAGAAAUUAUUGGGAAAAUGGGUGAAAUAGCAUUGAACUUGAGCUGUGAAGGUUAUGAUCCAAAACACUCAGAUCUGUCACUUGAUGAUGAGGAGAAAGCCUUUGAACUAUUUCACCACAGCGAGAAACUUGCGGUUUCAUUUGGCCUGAUUAAAACCAGCCCAGGAACCUCCAUAAGAAUUGUAAAAAAUUUCCGCCCUUGUGAGGAUUGCCAUUCUUUCAUGAAAAUACUGUCAAAGAUUUAUCAAAGAGAUAUAUUUCUCAGGGAUCAUGUACGAUUCCACCAUUUCAGGAAUGGAGAAUGUUCUUGUGGGAACUUUUGGUAAUAACAGUGCCUGUGGGCAAAGGUUUGCUCAUGGAGAGUGAUGUUCUCCGGAUGAAGCGUCACGAGGAUUAUGCAUGUUUAAAGUCAUUGGUCUAUGAAUCAAUGGUUUAACUGGUGCAGUUCUACAUCAAUCGAGCUAUUUUGCUCUCUAGGCAUAAUCCACAGCAGUAUGCUGAUGCUUGGGUUCUGGAAACAGGUGACGGUAUUACCUAAGCUUAGUCUUCUUCAACGGAAAGUUGCUCUGCUGCAUCGGUCAGUUAUAUAGCUAUUCAGGAAGCAGAAACCUGCUAAGAUAGUCCUUGCCAUCGAAUGUUGUUUUGCACCAUUACGGAUUUGUGUUUGUAGAAAGAGAAAACCAUUAUCAUUUUUUUUUCUUGAUUUCAUUGACCAUCUGGAGUCUUGAUAGCUAGCCAAAACACGGAAAGAGCAUAAUGUAUAAUGUUCUUGUUUACCCAGAGACUGAAAUUCAUUAUUACACCAGACCAGAAAGAGUGAGAGCAGAGUUUGCUCCUUCCGGCCAAGUUAUCAUUUAUGAGGGCCAGGCCAAAUGAUCGACGGUUGAAGAUUUUUUUCAUCCUUUGCGCAUACCAAUUUGAUUUUUGACCAAAAAAUCUCCAGCAUUUCAAAUCAAGCAGCAAUAGUAUCGAUUUAAAACGAUCCCAUCUGAUCACCAGACUUGCUUAUUCGAGGCAAGUUCGUGCGCGUUUAGAUGGAAUACCAGUUUUACUUUGUGGCUCACGCAGUAAUAUCCUGAUAGCAUGACUCCUAGCCAGAGCCUCUGGAGUUGGUAGCAAUAAAAUAUUUGGGGAAAGAAUGUGCGUUUGGAUGGAGUAUUAUUUGCGGGGGGGAAAAAAACCAGUUCCAUUCUGCAGCAUGGAUGGAGGGUUGCCAUUUUUUGUCCAACCUUUGCUUUAAAGAAGUUAAAAAAAAACUAGUGGAGUACAUUACUCUAGAGCUUUCUCCACUAAUCAAUUAGCAAAUGAACCUAAGGCUCUCUUCAAUGACCCAGUGGGGAUUACCAAUCAGGAGAGUGGUUCCCCAGUGUCAUUAGUCAAAUUUUCCAAGCCAAGACUCCUUAAACAAAUCGCAAGCACUCUCACUAAACAAACACAGCAACUUAGUUACUGUCCACUUUUUGUUGCUUUUCAGUGGAUUAUUCAAGAGCGUGGCUGGCCAUAUGCUUUCACAAUCUCAUUUCAUAAUUAGUCGUACCAACUUUUUUUUUUUUUUUUAUAAUAUACAAAUUAACACAGGACAAUUCGUGACAUCAUCCGCCCACCUUUAAGAUUUUUAUAAAAUUUUUGCACUAGUGGUAGAGGAUAGAUAGCCAUCUUUCCUUAUUUCAGCAACGGCUUUGCCUGUUUGGCAACUUUAGCAAGCAAUUGUUCUUUUCUUUUCCCUAAACAAAUUAGUGGCAGAAGAAAUUCUUCUUUGCUGGCAACCAUCUCAGCAUAAAAUACAGGCCACUCUGUCUACGUGACGAGAUAGACUAGUUUUCGAUUGGUUCAAAGCAAAAAUGAAUAUCAUCACAUGUUUGGGAAUUUCAGUCACUGUCGCCUUUUGCUUUUUUUUUUUUUUUAAAUUUAUCCCAAGUCAAGAGUCGACAACCCCGCUUAAGAAUUUGCAUUUGUCUUGAGUUCCUUCCAGAUCCAUUUUUUUUUUUUUACGCUAAUAUUAUUAUUAAUGUGCAUUAUUAGGAGGUAAAGAAGUCCAAAACGAUGUUCAGUUCGUGGCUUGGAACCUCCCAUCAUAUUCGCUUAUAUCAUGGCAUCACCGUUUUAUUACUAAAAAAUAAUAUAAAUAAAUCAUUGUAGGAAUUUGUACCUAUUGUGAGAAUAUAUGGUUUCUCUUCUUUUUUUUUAAUUAAUUAAUUAAUUAUGUAAUGUAUAUAUAUAUAUAUAUAUAUAUCGUGGAUCAAUAAUAGAGGGAAAAGAUGCAUGCUCAAAGCUCAGAUUUUGUUUGCUUGGCAUUUGAAGAGAAUAAUACUUUGCGUUAAUCUUCUAGUAAUGGUCAAAGAUAGAGUAGCCAUCGAAUUUACUUUUUCCUCAACUCAACUGAAAGAUGUCAUAUUCCCGUGCAUGGAAUGAAAUUAAUAGCAGCCAUGAUGCCGCCCACUUAUGCUUAUUCCCUGUCUCGCCACCAUUUACCUCUUCUUCUUCUUCUUCUUCUUCUUCUUCUUCUUCUUCUUCUUCUUCUUCUUUUUACUACAAGAUAUUAUUCAAAUAUCUUGUUAAAUGGCUUUUUGCAAAGGAGCUGCUGUCAUCUUUUUCUUUAAUUGCCACUUGUUUUCGAAUUUCUAUUCCUUAGAUUCAUCCCAUCUAUAUAUAUAUAUAUAUGUAUGUAUGUAUGUAUGUAUGUAUUCUACUACUGUAUUUUCUUCUAGCUAGAGCCUAGAUGUCAAUUCAGGCACCAAAACCAGUGGCACAGGAUAUUAAUUGCGUAAUUAACUGCAUACUCUAUUAACCUUGACUGGUCGAGAGUAUGACUUUCUUUCAUCAGAGAAGGAGGCUGCUUUUCAUCAUGGAAAAAAUUAAACGAGUUUAUGGAAAAAGUGAAUGGCAAAUGUGCUUACGGAACUGUGAUUUCAAGGGCGAGAGUGCGACAAGAUGAUGAUGGCUUCCAUUUGUCUGGUUGCAGGAAUUUGUUUCUACACGGAUGCAUGGAUGGAUGGAUGGAUGGAUGGAAAUUGUGGCAAAGGCAUCAAUAAGACAAGUGGGUUGAUGGCAUUUCACUGUGCUUAUAACUUUAAUUAUUUCUACACGGAUGGAUGGAUUGUUGUUUUCUUUACUGGAGAUGGAGCUACAAAAGUUGUUGGGAUCUAAAAGAUUACCAACCCUCUGUUUCUCUGCCAAAUCAACUUGCACCCCAAUUUGCCAUCUCCUCCUUGGCCACUUUCAGGAGUUUUUUUUUUUUUUUUUUUUUAAUAAAGAAAGAAAGAAAAAAAAAAAAAGGAGGGGGGAGGGGGGCGGGGGUGGCAUUUUCCUUUUGUGAUUUGGCAAAUCUUCUACUUGCACUUUUGAUGAUCUUUUGCAUCUUAUUGAAGGAUUGAUUUCACCGUAACGUAACACCUUUGGUGAGAGUUAAUUAUCACCAACCAUCAGUCAUGCGUGAAUUUCGUGCAACAUAAUACUACUCUCAAACGAACAACAACAUAAUAUAUAACACUUGAGCAACUUCCAUGUUUUUCCCUCUCUUCUACUACUUGGAAAAGCAACACUACUACUUCCAUGUAUUUCUUUCUUUCAAAAAAAUUUUGGGGUUACUCACAUCGAAACUGAUCAAUGAAAACCGUCACAUAUUGUGACAAAUUUUGUGGGAGACAAGGUUCGAAUCUUGACCUUCCGCACCACUAAACCUAAGAAGAUUUGGGAUGAUCACGGGGACUAAUGUGGUAUUUGAUCUGGGAUUAUUUUAUUUUACGUCGUACACGAGAAUAAAUUUCCCGAAACAGCCAAUCAAUCACGUCCCCUCCACCAAAACCCUCCUGUGAAUAAAUUUCAGCUAAAAGCUAACAAGAGAUCUAUGUAUUCAGAUUUGAGCACACCACUCUAUAUGUAAUCGUGAAUACACCUUGCAUCUGUACUUGUACUGCUAAUAAUUAAUAAUAUAAUAAUUGAGUGUGUUUGGACAGGAGAUUAUUUAAAAUAAUUUUUUUUAAAAAAAAAUUGCUGUAAAAUAUUUUUGUGUAGAUAAUUUGUUAUUCGAACACGUUCGUUGUUCCCUGCACGUGCAACUUGCAGCGCUCGUUGCUUACCCCGUUCCAAAUUUGACCAUAUGCGGUUUGUAGGCAUACGUCGUUUCAUUUUGGCCGCUCGUUUCAUAUUUCUUUGUUCCGUUGGUGUGGCUGGUAAUUCAUUGGGUUGCCAAGUGUGCAGUAUCUACAUCAAUAGUCACAUUUCUUUGGAUUGCCUUAUUUUUUUUUUUUUAAAAUAUAUUACGUUUUUUAUGAACGUACUUCUCAAUUAUUUCUUUAUCUCACGUUUAUCAAAUUGUUAUGGCGCAUUUUUUUUACAUGAAUUUUCAAAAAUAGUACUCCCUCCGUCCCGUUUUGUUAGUCUUGGUUUUUUUUUUCACACAGAUUAAGAAAGUGUAAUUAAUUUGAUUGGAAACAUAAAUUUAGAUUAAUAAUUUCCUAAAAUACCCUUAUGCUAAUCACGAAGAGUGCCAAUUAAUAUCAGCUACAACUAAUGGGUUGGUAUUGGAAAAGCUCAAUGUAUUCAAUGUAAUAGGUUAGUUUUUAAUAACAAUGUAUUAAUAACAAGAUAUUUAAUAAGGGUAUUUUAGACAAUUUGAAAGAUUACUACAUUUCUUAAUGGGAAAGUGGACUACAAUUUGGGACAGACGAAAAAGGAAAACAAGACUAUCAAAGUGGUGGGACGGAGUGAGUGAUUCGAACGAGCUCUCAGAAAGUUGCACUCCAUCCCUGUUCGUGUUUUUCUUGGAUGAAGAUUAUGUAGAAACUUUUGCUGCUGCUGCUGCGUCAUCAUUACAUUCUAAGAGAUCUUUUGGAAUGUCAAAAAUUGAUUGAGAAAUGUAUUUACGAAAAACGCACAAGUUUUACUGGAAAAAAAAUCACAAUCCAAAAAGAUUCUUGAUGUUAUGGUUCAAUAAUACAGAAGUUGGUGCAAGUACAUUGAAUUUGCGUUCAAGAUGCUUUCUCCAAAUUUCUGAAAAUUGUCAAGCACGUUCCCCUUUCCUGGUCGGAAAAAUCUUUUUCCCUUUGGUAAAAAGUAGGAUAAGUCUCUCAUAUCGACAUGAAACGGCUGCUGACCAAGAGAGAUUUCAGAACUUCAUGGCCCCAAGGCGGACAAGAUCAUCAAAUUGAAGCCAUCUUUUCUAACUCCACUUGAUUCGAGGCUCCGAGGAUCAACACCAUAAUGAAACAAGCAGCCUCAUAAGAUUGGUGGAUUGUCACUGUCCAAACCAUUCAAGGAAAUAAAUCUACUCCUGAUAUUUGUCACUCAAACCCAUAAUGUCUCACCCGGUAGUGCCGUUUCCCAGUUCAUCUCUAUUCUCAGUACCAGUUCAUCUCUAUUCGAGUGCCGCUUCCAACAAUAAUCAGUUUACUUGCUAUACAAAGGUGAAUUGGUAGGCAAGAGGAUCAAUUAUACUGGACUAACGCCCAUUUCUCUUGGAUUAGAACUGCAAAAAUAUUAUUGUGAAUAAAACACAAAUAAAAGUUGGACAAAACCAAACUAGAUUGGAAGGGAAAAGCAUCACUAGUUUACAGACAAGAGAGAGUAAUUGCUAAUUACACUGGACAAGGUUCCUGAGCCACACCUGAAAAGAUAUAAGUAACUAUAACCAUAACCAAAUCCCUCUAUGCUUUAUUCCUAGUAAUUGCUGAUAGUUGGAAGUCUAAUUAAGACUGGAUCCAUAUUAAUUUAAUCCCCUCUAGACGCCAAAAAAAGUCUUUCAAUUGGGAGGUCAGCCAGUGCACGCUCGCUCAGUAGUGGAGCAUGUUUGCUGAGGGCAUAAGAGGCUGCUGCUGGUUCAGAUAGAGAUGAUUCCAAGAAUUGUUCAAGAAUCCAUCCGCAGUUUCACCAAACCCAUAAGAACCCUCGGCAGCCAAACCACCAGUACAGACAUUCAAGAAUUCGAUGAUCUCGUUGAGGGACUGCAAUCUGUGGCUGAGCUCAGCCACCUGAGCCCUGAGGACAGAAUUUUCAGCCUCAACAUUCAGAUACUGCUGGGUGGUAACGUUCAUGCUCGUGAUGAUUUGGUUAUUUUCCUUUCUGAGCUGAGCAACUUGGGCCAUCAGGUCGUCUAAAUGCUUCUGUUUCCUCAUUCGCGACCGCCUUGCGGAUUCGCGAUUCGAGAUCAUUCUCUUUCUUUUUCUCUGAUCCAUCAAGUGCUGAAGAUCUUCCUCAGAGCCUGAGUUCUGAAACCCAGAUGACCCUGAAGAUGUCCCACUGCCACUAGAGGAAGCCAUGCAUGUAAUUUUUUCCACAAAAUUCUUCUUCCUUUUUUUUUUUUUUUUUUUUAAUUAUACAAAAGCUCGAUUAGCAGAUUAUUAAUGAGGGAUGACUAAAAUCUAGCAGGACCCAGAUAGCUAUUGUUCACCAGAAAACACACCCAGAUAUUUAUAUAGUUAUAUUUAAAGAAGAAAAAGAAAUAUUGAUACAGAUGUAUAACUCUAGCUAUUGGGAAAAGAAGUCAAAAAUCAUGAAAUGUAGUAGAACCAGUAGAGGAAGACAACUGAGAAGGAUUGAACUAAAUGGGUCCUGCGCCUGUAUGUGGAAUUUAUCAUACACCCGGAAAGGAAGAGUUCACUGAGAAUUGCAGACAUGAAUUUCAAAGAUCAAGAACAAAAGAUUGAGCAUUAAGCUUGUUUUGAAGAAAAAACAGGGGGAUGAUGCUAGAGAACAACGGUGAAGCUGGCCGCCGCAGCUGGCAAGUGGCAACUCAAGAAAGAAACCCACUACCCGGAUGGACAAAAUCUUGAAAUGGGUGUCGGACUUAUUGACCCAGAAAUUAACCUAUACGUUGAAACUAAUGGGCAGAGAGAAGUGACGCUAGCUAAAGGGUGUUAAGCCAAGGCAAAGAGGAAAGGGAGGAGAAAGGGGAGGUUACAAUGCGCUUGUUAAGGGGAUUAUAUAGAAUCAAGAACUGGUACACAGCUGCAGUUUUUUAAAUUAAAAAAAAAAAAGUUUGCAGAAUUAAAAAUGGGAGAGAGAGAGAGAGAGAGAAGUGGAAUAAAAAAGAAGUUUGGAAUCUUACCUGUGAGAAGGAAGUGGGCGCUGGGAGAGGAUGAUGGGACAUGUGGGGCGGGGGAGCAGAGACCUCCACAUCCAGCUGGCGAGCAAUAUCUGACAAGGUUAAAAAGUUAAAAUCAUCACCCAGAAACCGAUUUUUUUUUAAUAAUGGGCAGGUAGAAACUGAAAUCAAUUGGAAACCGUUAAAGGAGAAAAACUUGGACAAAUUUUGAGGCCGUGACGAUGAUGUUGAUUUGUAUGGUGGGAUGGUGCGCACAGUUUCCUUUUCAAGCUAGCCAAGAUCAUCCUUGAGUUUUCCACGCUUAUACCCACUAGUAGAGGUGGCAAAUCAAUCCACUUAACUAGAUUUACCCAUAUCCGUCCAUGAAUAGAUGGGUAUGGGUAUCUUAAAUUUUUGUAUAUGGAUAUAAAUGGGUUACCCAAUAAUACCCAUUUAAUAAAUGGGUAUUAUUGGGUAACCCAUCAAAUCCAAUUAACCCAUUUAAAAUUCUCUUCCCCCCAAGUCUCUUCUUUUCCCCUACCUUUUUUUUUUCAAAUUUUUCAUUUUGUCAUGAUGUUAACAUUUAGUGUGUUUGGACAGCCAAUUAUUUGGCCAAAUAUAUUUGCUGACAUCACCAUUACAAUUUCCAAUACACCUUUUUAUCUUCCCAAUUACCUUUUUAUCUCACAUACAUCACAUCACAAAAAGUGCUACAGUAAAAAUAUUUCAAAUAACUUACAAUCCAAACACACUUAUUAUUAUUAGUAUUAUUAUUAUUAUUUGUUGGUUUUAUCUUAUUAUUUUAUUUUUUUCUUAGUUUGUUAACUUGCUCAUUUUUUAGCAUUACCAAUUUAUGAUAAAUUUUAGCCUAUUUUCUUAUCUUUAUAAAAUGAAAUUUUAAAUUUAUAUAUGAAAAAAUGUUAGGGGUUCAAAAUUUUUGAAUUAAGUUUUAUAUUAAUUUUUAUAGUACUUAAUUCACAAUUAUGUUAGGGCCACUAGAGACAUCUCUUUUUUUUUUUAAUAGUAAUUAAAAAUUUGAGUUGGUUCGGCUUUUAUCACAAUUAUGAAUCAGGAGGUAUGCUCUCGGAAUUAUAAUUGAUCGAAUAUACAGCCUCUCACAAAAUUCGAAUAUAUGACCUUUGAUAAAAAAUUACCCCGUUCUUAUCGAGUCAACUUGUAUCAUUAUGUCAGUAGCAAAGCGUGUAGGAAGUGAGUUGUAUCAUUAUUGUCAUUAGUAAUACGUUUAGGAGACGAAGAAUUCUAAUUUUAACUCAUUGGUUGACAUACCUUUCUUUUGGAAAGAGGCAAAUAUAAUAACUCACUCACUCAGUCUUUAAUCCUGUCUUUAAAUGGAGGAAAACAUAUCAGAUAUCCUUGGAUCCACCCAACGUGAAUCUGAUUCCUUAUUUUUUAACCAUAGAGCUCAACAUUGGUUAGUUUUUAACUUUUGAAAGCCUAUGAGUACAUAAUUUUGUGCUUUAUUAAUGAUUCCUUUAGCACUAAAUCAUCCGACGUGUAAUACCUAUUGCCUUAUUACAUAAGACUGGACAGUAUGCUACUGUGAUCCAAAAGCACGAUAAUUUUCCUAAUCAUAUUAUUAUCUGCUCUUACUUUUACAUACCAUUUAAGUCCUAUGCUUUCAACUCUGCACUACUCUUUAGCCAAAAAAAAUUAAAAAAAAAAAAUACACUCUGCACUACUCCACUUCUGUGUUCCAGAGGGAGGGGCCUGGGACUUCUGCAAUAACUUGUGCCAAUUAUAUAUAUUGUACAAUGCAAAUAGUACUACAAUAAAAUAUGGACUUUAAGAUAGCAAAUAUGUGGCAUUAACAAAGUAACGUAUAAAAUCACAACAAAUUUUAUCCUACAAUCACAUUUGUGGUCAAUUUUUAAUCCAAAAAAUGACCAAUUUCUUCCCUAAAAUUUUCACUAGUACUGAUUUAUUUCCUAAAUUUUAUUCUUAACCAAUUUGAUAUGUGAACUUAUUUUGCAGUUCCAAUUUGGAACUUUCAUGAUGGCGUCACCACCUAAAACCGAUCUGACUCAUAAUUAACCAAUUAAACGAUGAUGGUAUUUUGGAAAUAUCACUCACAGGGUUGUAAUAAGUCAGGUAAAUCGUAUAAAAAAAAUCACAAGAUUAAACUUUAAAUAUUUUUUAUUUGGUGAUUUUUUAUACAAUUUAAAAGUUUUAUCUGAUGAUUUUUUACACGAUUUAUUUCUUAUAUUACAGCCUCGUGAAUGACAUUCUCAUAACACCCUAUUUAGUUAGUCAAUUAAGAUUUAGAUCAAAUUUAGGUAGUGGUGUCACUUUGCAGAGGUCCUUAAUUAAAACUUCAAAUAAGUUCAAGUAUCAAAUUGGCCAAGAAUAAUAGUUAUGGACUAAAUUGAAACCAGUAAAAAAAUUUACGUAUAAAAUCGGCCAUUUUUCCAUUGUUAAUCAUAUCCAUUAUAUUCAAUUUGAGCCUGUUUGGUUCAUCAAUUGUAGGAAGCAUCAAUCCACAUAUGCAAUGAAAACUUUAACAACAAGAUCUAAUGCCUGUUUUUAUGUACCGGAUGCCGCCAUGCCCUGCUUUGUAUCUGCCACUUAUAAUUAACAAUGAAAAUUCCUGUUGCCUCAUCUAAAAGCGCGAAAAUUUACCUUUGUAUUUGGUACUUAUGAUAUUAUGAUAAAAAAGAACAAAAAUCUACCUUUAGGCAUCAUGUAAGUCUACUUUUAACUUUGCAUCUCCCAACUCUACUUCUUUGUUCCACAGAUGGAAUCAUGGAACAAAGCGUGUCUUCUAAAUGAAAAAAGGAAAAUCAUACAAAUAAUUCUUCGCAUAUGGAUUUUGUGCCUUUUACACUCCUCACAUAUGAAAUGAUAAUUUUUUUUGGUAUCUUUUAUAUCUCUUACAUAUGAAAUGAUGAUUUUCGUCUCUCGCAAACAAAAAAUAUAAUUUUUUUAGUCCCUCGGCUCAUUUUUAUUAAUAUUCUUGUUGGGAAAGAAUCACAUGUAGCUUAUGCUUCAUAACUUUUAAAGACAAAAUCGAAAGAUCACAAAAAGAAAAGAAAAAAGAAAAAGAAAAAUGUUCUUCACAUUUAUUUCUUUUUGUCUGAUUCUUCUAGCCAAUAAUAUGGCAAUGGCAUGACUCCCUCUAGUCAUCGUGCUUAUGGUGUGAUUGUUGGCUACCACCUUUUUUUGGUUCAUAAAAUUUCAACUCGAUAGCCCUCAAUUUUUUCGUGUACAAUCUAAUUUCAAUACUAAUUUUGUAAAAAAUGAACGAAUGUAGGUGAAAGAUAGAAAAAACACUGGCAGGUAGAGCCUGGUUUUGAUUUAGUUUUGUGCUAAAAAAUCAUAUAGCUAAUAGAAAAAAUACCAGUGUAUUUUUUAUGUUAAUUUUUUUCUAUCAGUUGUGUCAAAUUCUACUUGUUGCUUUUUUAUUAUUUUUCACCCACUUUCUUUUUUUUUUUUGCAAAAACUAACAUUAAAAUCAGAUUUUACUCAAAAAAUUUGAGCGGGGAGUUGAAUUUUCAUGAAGUUUUGUGACUAAAAGUUGUGGCGAUCAAUGGUGUCACCACUAGUGUGGUCGUAGAGACUAGAGAGCUAUGGCUACUGCCGCAUUCUUGAUUAAAGAAAUAGGAUGAAGAAAAAAGAAAUGUGAGAAACUUUUUGCCUUUUUCUAUAUAAUCUUUCAAUUUUUAUUCCUAAAGUUUCCGAGAUAUGAGUUGUAUGUGAUUUUUUUAAACAAGGAUACAAGGAGAAUGAGUAGAUGGACUAACAAUGUGCUUUUUAUCAUUUAUGAGGAACAAGAAAUCAUUAUUUUAUAUAUGAGUAACGCAAGAUAUACAAACUUAACAUGUGUUUUAUAUUUGAGGGACAUAAAAAGUACAAAUUCAAUAUAUAGAGGACUAUUUAUAUGAUUUUUCUAAUGAAAAACUUUUAACAAGAAGAGCAAUGAUGUAGGGUUUUCGAGAAAAAGGCACCAUUUAUAGCAGGUGUAGCAAAAGUAUUAAACAACCCUCAGUCACCUGCUGAUUGCAAAAUUGUUUUGAAAAUCCAUUUUUUGACAAAUUUUUUUUUUUUAUAUGUUUUUUGUAUAUAUAUUUUUUAAUUAUUUUUUUACUUCAUAUAUAUAUCAAUUUAGUUACAAUAUAUAUAUAUAUAUAUAUAUAUUUACAAAAAUUGUAAAAAAUAACCAUCCAAACCGGAUCUUACUGACCCCAAUCGGGAUCUGCUGGGGGCUUUGACAAAGCGAUAGAUAUUAUUGAGGUGUGGGUAGGCAGCAUUAAUUCGCAUUGGACUCUGAAAACGGCAUAUCGAAUGAGGGGCUGCUCUGAUCAUUCCAGCAGUUCUUAUUUGUGGUCCGAAAUGACUUUAAACCACACAGCAUCGGGUAUUUUGUACCUGUGAGUUGUUGGGGUAAUCCCUAAUAAUUGUGUGCAGACGACAAGAUUCCGCAUGAGAGUUCGUGCUCGGAGAUCUUAGGUGCUCCCUGACGGAACCCGGAUGUUACCGGUGGUGGUCAUGUCAGGAUUUGUUUGUACAGACGGCGUCGACAAUAAAAGCUUACUGCCCCGGGGUUGGGAAGAUUCGGAGUUUGAUAUUUUUUGCUUUUUGCGGGUUUUUCAGUUCUCCGAUUACAGGAAAGGUCACUAAGUCACAAAACCCAAGCCUGCGUUUGAAAGGCAAACCGAAUUGGAUGUAAUGAGAAACCAACCCUUUAUACCGUUACUAUUUUAUAAAUCAAUCAUUGACAAAUCAUAGCGUUACUUUUUUUAUAAGUAUUUGGAUGUAAUUAAAAAAAACCCCCCUUCAUGGUCUGCUAAAUGUUAUUGGUCUUUGCAGAAUAAUGGCUGUUCCAAUUCAUCCUCUUUGGUGCUCUGAAAACCAAUUCAUCCUCAGUAGUAGUUUGGUACUUUGGUUAGUAUUGAUAGCCGCACAAGUGGGAGUAUAUUCGAAUUGAGUCGAGUUCGAGUGGCAAAUAAAAUAACUGAACUCGAGUUAGAACUAGUCGAACUUUUAGACUCGAAUUUGACUUUAGUUUAUCUUACUUGAACUCAAACUCGAACUCGAUCUCAAGUUUAAUUAAAUCUAAUCGAGUCUGAUUAAGAUCGAGUUGAGUCUAACCUAUUCGAUUCUAAUUAAGCUCAAUCAAACCUAUUUGAAUCUAAUCUAGUUCACCUAAUACAAAUUAAUAUUUACAUAUAAUUUUAAAUAAAUAAUAUAAUUGAUAUUUCAUAAUAAUAAAUACAUAUUUUAAAAAGUUGCUUGUCGGACUUUCAAGAGUACAAGAAUUUGGAAUUCAAACUUGACUCGAAGAACUCAAACGAAUAGUUUAAAAUCAAUCAAAGCGAGAUCGAGUCGACUUAUUAUUGACCAAAUAGCAUAUGAAUUCGAAUCGGAUUACUUGGUUCAAUAACACCCUUACAUGUAGGGCUUUGGAUAUGAGGGUAUGUUUUGUCUUAUAGUCGGAAGCAUAGCCUCUCCUUGUUUAUGUUGACAGUUGCAUUUAACGUCAUGUAUUGUACAGGAUCAGCAGCCCUCUUGUUUGGAGUAGCAGGAGAGAAAAAGUUCCUUUGCCUCUAUAUCACUUUAUUGAAUUUUUUCAAGUAUUAGGGAAGACUCUCAGAGUCUUCCUAGCAUCGAGUUUAGUUUAAAUGAAUUUCACAUCCGAGUGUAGUUUAAAUGUUGGAAUUGAUAGUUGGUAAAGAAAAGAUACGAACAAAGAUGAGAAGAAAAAACAGGAAAAAAGACAGGUUUAUCGAUUUGGGUCUAUCAAAAGAUAUGUAAUGAUCCUUCCGGGCCCCAAUGUCCCGUAGACAUUUAUGAGAGCCCUCGCUUAGCAUAGCAGACUUGAUCGUCCAAUCAGACCGAAAGUCUUUAGAGUUCCGUCUUUACUUGACCUCUUUCUUAAAGGUUACAAAUUUCCACAUCUAACUUCAUCCAUCGUCCAUGCACCUUAUCGUCCGACUGUUUACUUUUGUCUUUUCCAGGCGAAAAAUUCCUAUCACUAGGGAUUAAUGACGUUUUAUCUGAAACUAAAUUUAAAUGUUACUGAUAUUUUGUACAUUAGCCAUACAAAAAAAAAUCUGCAGUAAGUUGGGCACUGUUCGUUCGAGUUUCAAGGGUAAAGAAUACUACUAACGAACAGAUUGAGCUAAUAAUUAAAAGCGAAAAUCACUAAAAAUCCCCCUAAGGUUUGCAGUAUUUUGUAUUUUGUCCCGUAACAUUUAUCUUCUUGGCACUUUAUCCUCUUUGUUAGUCCACCUUAGCAAGUGAUUCAUUGAAACAUUGAACUAGAUGAAAUUACCUCCCAUUGUUUCAACUAGAUGAAACUACCUCCCAUUUAAAUUGUUAAAUUUUUUUUUAUAAAAAUGCCCCCAUCUAUUAUUUAUAUAAAAAAAAGUUUCCUCUUUAACCCAAAAAUAUUUUUGUUAUAAUUUCAUCGGUCAUUAGAGUCUUCAAAUUCGUUUCCUUGCUUUCCAGCAAGAUGUUAUCCAUCACAACAUUUAAAAGAACCAAGUCAAGAAACCUGUGGACGUAGUAAAAUAGCACGCUUAAAAAGAUCAUAGAUAUCGAAGAAUCUCGGAAGGAAAUUUCUUGGAUGUUCAAAUUAUAAGGUAAUGAUUUGUACGAUAAUUUAAUGUCUUUUUUUUUUUAAUCUUUUAGAUAAAGUAAUUUGAAAAUUUUCUUUUCUAGAAUCGUCAACCAUACGAUUAUCUUAUUUUUCUUUGCAAAACAUAUGAGCAAGAGCGGACUUUUUCCCUAUAAGAAGAAUAUUUUUGGAAAAAAAUAUUGCUCGACUCAAAUCCGUUGACUAUUUAUCUAUCCAUUAUUUUACCAAGAAUACCAUUGUACUUUCCCUGUUAACCAUCACCGCAGUUACUAAUUGCAUAGUUGAAAGCUUUGACUGCCAAUUCAAAUAUGGGAAUAAAGUGGCAUAGGAAGUAAAGUACAAAACGCUACAAACCUUAAAAGGAACUUUUAGUUAUUUUCCCUAAUCAAAAGUCAUUGUUGGUGUUUGAUCUCGCAACGGGGAUUGCCCGAUGUUACUUCUCCAAACACCGAUCAAUUUGUUUUGUUUCGUCAUAACUUCACCCGUCGAAGCCAGCCUAUUGUACUAGGCAGGAUCAGUCAGAUUGUCGCAAUGAUUGAUUCUCUUAUUACAAUGUAGAUUAUGUAUCGGCUACUAUGCCUAUGCGAUCGACAUAUAAUUAUACACAGUUGGUUGAGAGGCAUUUUAUGGUCAUUGUCUUCUGUGGAUUCCAUGCGUGAGCCAAGUGGCCGUUCGUGAGUUUGUAUCAGUAAUUAGACCAUACAUACACGCUACUAUCUUAUUCACUUAGGUUUGCUUUAUUGAGGGUCAAGGACACUUUAUCUCUCUUUUCAGAAAAAGGGAGAGACAACUUUAGAUAACCUAUCAAGUUAAGGCAUAUGUAGUGGUAGUGGUGGGUAAUCUUCAGAUCAUGUACGUUGGGACCUACUUUCCGAGUUACUUAUCACGCAAAAUGGGCGCUACAUUAUUGCCUGCCGGAUGUAUAUUAUAUUGGAACAAUAAUACAAAGUACAGCCCGGCUUUGUUGAGUUGUUCCUUAACAAGGAUUACUCAUUCGUAUUAACAUCCUUGUCUUCAUUAGUCAUGCGCUAUCUGGAUGUGGCCUGUUUUUAUUGGUUAAACACGCCUCGGCUAUUUUUUUUUUCAAAAACAAGUUUUUUAAAUACAAUGCUACAGUAAUACACAAUAAUUUAAAAAACAUCUUAUCCAUACAAUAUAUCAGAUAUUUCAAAUAUAAAUUUUUUUUCAUAUACACUAUUACAGUAAAAUUUUUCAAAAAUACCCUAAAAAUAAUAAUUAAUCCAAAUGGAGUCCACAUAAUUUCAGAAAAAUAUACAACUAAUAAGUUCAAUAUUUGCCUGACUUUCUGCUUGUUUUUUUUUUCAAAAAUUUUUUAUAUUUUUCAUAAAUACAUUUAUCAAUCACCUCUUUUUAUCUCAAAUACAUCAAGUUCGCUGCAGCACAUUUUUUUUUUUGUAUAAAAACUCCACAGCAUAGCAAUCAAUCCGAACGAGGAAAGAUUUUGGGUCUAAGAGUCUAAACAUGAAGUAAAAAGAAGCAUAUUUCAGGGUUUAACUUUUAAUGAUGGAAUAUUCCGAGGAAAAGGAAAAGGAGAUGGGGAGUAGCUAGCAUAAACUACUCCUAAAGGCAAAAGGGCAUUCACAGCAUAACCAUGAGGACCAUGAUGAAUGAUCAUAUAUCACCAUCAGGGAUGCAAGACCGUAGACAUCUUUACUAUGAGUGGGUCACUCUUCGGCCCAGCUACAUUUUGGUGCAAAUCUACUGUAGAACAUGCUAAAGCGUCGACACGUCUCCAUCCAUCGGCAAAACAAGUUGCCUUCGUGGCGAAGUAAAAUACAAAUUACAAACUGCAUUGGUUGGUCUGUUGUCUCCGCUCAGGGAAUAGGGAAUGCUAACUAAAACCACUCCAGUGCCCAUGCAUGGAUUUCCAUGUGAAACGUCUACCUUCAAAAAAAAUUUUUAGGUACAACCAAACAUGCAUAAGUACAUGUUUACAGCUUACAGCUUCCAGACUUGAACUCUGAAUUCUACAGACAAACGCCGCAUCAUUCGAUCUUCCUUAGCCUCAUGUUUUUUUGGUCGGUAGAAUUCUACUUUACAUUAUUAAUAUUGUUUUGAAAUUGACCGAGAUUGAACCGACAUCACUGAAAAUGUGGACGUACAAUUUUUUUUUUUUUUUUUUACAUAUAUAUAUAUAUAUAUUAAAAAAAAAAGAAAAUCAAGUUUUGUUCGACGAAAUGUAUGCUAAUUUUUAAGAUGUGUAUGUUUAAUUGCUCCGUUUAAAAAUCCAAGUUUUACUGUUGGACUUAAUUAGUUUUAUAUGUUUUUGUUCAAAAUUAAGGAGAAUAGUAAUAAUUUCCCUAUUUUGCUUCUCCAUGUCUUGUAUUCCACCCUCCCCUACCCAAAAAAAUUAAAAAGAAUAACAUAAUUGAGCUAAUUAAACUCAUGGAACACUUGCAAGAUCUAAAACCGAAAUUGUCCAUACAUUCUCUUAGUACGCGAUAAACAUGAAUCUCGACAUCCCAUUGGUCCCACUGGCAUUUGUAUACAAUAGCGGUUCUAUUAAGCCAGGUGGCAAACUUUACCAUAGUAUUUGAGAAAAUUGUGGGUUCACUGGUGAGUUAUUCAAUAACUAAUUAAAAUUUGUCAACUAAAUGACUCGAGAGACAACCGCUGAGCUAAGCUCAGUGGCCACAGUUCCUCCUUGGGCUGUAGGUGACGGUUCAAACUUCACCUGCAGCAAAAAAAAUCUAAGGGUAGCGUCAUAGCACUCCCUUGGUCUAGUUCGAUUUGUAUACUCACUAGUCCCUGACACAAGCCUCCUUAGGCUCCUUCUCCCCCUAGAUUAUGACAGAGUAGGUUAUACAAUGUAUCGUUGCUGGCAAAAAAAAAAAAAAACUCAGCGUAUGUCAACUUACUAUUUGUAAUUUUGUUAAUCACUUUUUUACUUUCUUUCCUAAUUGCAACGAUAUUUCUUUUUAUGCGACAUGAGAUUAGACUAAAGAAAAAUAAUAAAUGAAAGGAGGAGGGGGAGCGGGGAAGAGGAGAAGGGCUUAAAUAAUUGAGGAAAAGUCGAGAAGGAGAUGUGGUGGAUUGACUACAAGAGAGGAGAUGGAAGAAACUGAAGGGGAUGGAGGAAGCGGGGAUCUGCAUUUUGUAGUGCCAUGGGAGAGAAGAGCAGAUGGGGAAAAGGAAAAAUUACAGAGUAGUCAUGGGUAAGUGAUCAAAGAUUAUACAGUUAGAAAGAGAGAGAUAAGAGGGAGGCAAAAGUGAGUUACAAUAAAUGAAACUCUCACUUACAUUAAUAUUAUUUCGCAAACUAGACUCUUCUUCAUCUAGUUGAUAAAUUUUAAUUGGUUAUUGAAUAACUUAUGGUAUACGGCUAUGCUCCACAAGUUGCUCAAUGAGCAUAUUAAAACUUGCUCGAAUUCGAGUGUCAAAUUUAGGAUUGUAGGAUAGAUAUCUUAGUAAUCGCAGCCAUAGGUGGGUACGUACCCAAUAAAGAACAACCUACGGGCUUCUUUUCUUAAUGGGCCAAGCCCACCAGAUGAGCCUGCAGACUUGCUUAUGCACGUCGCUGGUUCGCUAGGAGGACACCUGCGCCGACUAUCAUGCCAGUUUGACUAUUAGGCUCCCACUUAACGGGCCGUUGGCACUACAGGGAUCAAGUAUUCGAGCCCAAAUCAUCCGAAUUGAUGCAGCUAAAAGUGACCUGGCAAAACCUUGUACUACAUUAAUUCCCUGUUUGAACCUGCCAAGGAAAUCCGCGUUAUUGAAAAUCUUGUACUAACAGCUAAUGCCAAAAAGAUUAUGCAACAGUAUAUUGUUGUUGGUGCUUCGAUCAUUUCAUUGUUCUUUAUAGGGAACUAUAUAUCAUGAUGACGGUCCCUAAUUGCUGACAAAUUCUAGCCACAUGGUGUGGAACUCUUCUUUAUACUCUUCAAUUUCCUCAAAAAUUCAGUAAUCAAACUUGGCUGAAAUUUGCUUACCCAAUUAAGCCCUUGACCUAUAAAAUAGCACUAAUUGGACAAAUAAAAGUCCUGAACAGCAUUAUUUAGAUCAUAUUUAACAUGAAAUUAGCGAACUUUAUCAUUUUCAUUUCUUGAAGUGAAAACGAUUGUAAGUACGAGAUAUUGAAUUCAAGAUCUUCUAUUUAUCUAUCGGAGAGGAGGAAAUAGUCAAAAAAGCUAUUACCAACAGUGCUGAGUAUUCAAAAAGUGAUUAUUAAAAGUGAACCUUGGUUUCAUUUCAAACUCUUUGAUAGGCCCAGAAAGAACUUGGUUUCCCCUGGGGGUAAAUACUUGAAAAUUAUUUAUACCAAUGCUACUGCCUAAGAUUUUUUUACUUGAAAAUUAGAAGUAUAGGUUUAAACAUCCCGGAGAGGUCUUCUAUCCGGGUAACUGCGAUUAAAACAUGGAAUUUACUCUUGUGUUCGUAAUCAUGUGAAAGCUCAGGGGAUCCUUGAAGAGAGAACGUAAAAAGGAGCCAUUUUAUUUAUUCAUUUUUUUGUUUUUUACUAGUAAUAUUAUAUAUAUUAGAGGAAAAACGUCAAAGGAGGCAGCCUGGUAGGGUGGUGUGGGUGUAGGUGCUAAUAGCAGUAGUAUUUGUUUUUAAUGUUUAUGGCUGACCAAAAAGAAUAGCAAAUUAAAGAAACAAAGCGUGCCGGGGUGGGAAGUCUUCAAUGCCAGCUCUCUCUCAAUAGCUGGGGUCCCUUCGGUUGCUCUCUCAUCUUUUCCCUCUCUUCUCCGAUUUCACUUUCUAUAACACGCCGUCGGAUUAAUCAUCAACUUGUUAACCCUCUAGUCUUUUUCCAAGAAAGAGGACUAGCCAGCCGACAAAAAGGGCCAACCAAAAAAAAAAAAAGAGUUUUGAUUGCCAGGGGAUGGUAGUUAGACUUGGCCAGCUGCAAUAUAGAUCGCAACUCAUUGUUCAUUGGUGAAAGUUUAAUCCAUUUGUUUGGUUUAUACUUCAAAAAAGUGACCGUCCGAUGGCAAGAAGACAGAAGUCACGGAACAGAACGGAAAACUCCAUAUAUGUCACAGAUGAAACAUAUGUGCUGUUCGCCAAUCGCCACCAUAAAUGCCUUAUGUGUGCCUGCGGAAUUGGUCAAAAAUUCGAAUCUUACCUUCCAUCACUUAUCCCCGUAACAUGUAUAAUCUAUAUCUAUAUAAAUUUGAGAAGGGAUUUUUAGCAACAAACCUCCACGUAUCUUCUCAUUACCAAUUCCAUUUUUCUAGCAUUUCACAUUUAAUUUAAUUUAUAAAAUAUAUUUCUCUCAACUUCCACAUCUACUUUUCACAUUUGAAGUUGUUGGUUAAUGUGCAUGUUAUCCUAUUUAAACUUCAACCCAUCACGUUUCUGAUUGCCUUACUUUAUUUAUGAUUCUACAAUAAUUAAAACUUCUAUAAGACCAUAAGAAGAAAUAACAAUUGUAACAUCCUUUCAUGCUUUCUUAUUAAUUUAAAUAAGUAAGAUUAUUUACACUCCAUUUUUGUUAUUCACACUUCAAUAAUCAUUUUGAUCAUAAAAUUUUCAUUGAUUAGACUAUAUGAUAAAACAAAUGGUGGAAUUACAAAUAAUAAAAAAUGGAGGGCAAAUAACAUUUUCUUAAGUAAGAAAUGGCUUCCAUGCCUUUAUAAUUUAAAAAAGUAGUGGUUCUGCUUAUAUUGGAAUUUGGUUUGAAAUUUAUUAGUGGGAGGGUAAAUAAAAAGAAAACAUUGCCAAAUUUAGUAAAAGUAAAAAAGUAAAUGAUAAUAUUUUAUCUUUUAACUUAGUAAUCCCGAGCAAAAUGGCAAAAUAAAAUAGAAAACAAAAAGAAAACAAUGUCGUGGAUUUAAAAAAUCAAGAAUGGUACCAUUCAUGAAAUCACUAAAUAAAAAACAAAGUACUACUAGCCUUUUAUCGUGAAAUUCUUUUUUGAAAUAUUCAUUUUUGAUAAAAAAAAAUAAUGAUAAUAACAACACAAAUUCUACCAAAAAUUUUUUUAAAAAAGUAACAUUAUAGUUUAAGAGAAAGAUAUAGAACAUUCAACCCUAAAAUACUACUUAAUUUGUAUAUAUCUGACCCAAAUUUGACAUUAGAUUUGAAUAAGAGUGCAAAAUCCAAAUAUUAAGGAUAAGUUUUGGUAUCAUUAAUUAUUUUAUGUAUUCUUAUUGCUGCCUUCAUAUGUAAAUAUGUAUUUGCAAUGUUAAAUAUAUAUAUAUAUAUAUAUAUAUAUAUAUAUUGAUUGUAGUACUUGAGAAUAUUAUAGAUAUUAUCAGUUUUUCAUUUCCAUUUUUAGAUACUAAUAAUUGCAAUCAUUGUAAUUAAUUUUCAAUUUUAUAUUUUUAUUAUGAUAGGUAAAGUUUAAAAAAAAAGAUUGCAAAAAUAUGAUAGAGAUGACAAAAAAAAAUAAUUAUUUUGAUUUGAAAUAUAACCCGUGCAUAGCACAGGCCAAAAUACUAGUUUCUUUUACAUUCAGGGGUGCUCUUGAACACCCGUUUGUUUAGUUUGAUGGUAGUUUAGUUCUAUGGGUCUCAAUGAUUCACCGGGACCAACCCCUCUUCUCCCUCCCGCCGUGUAAUGAAUGUUAAGGAAAAAAAAAUCACAGUUGAAAAAUAGUUAAAUACUCAUUCCAUUGAUGGAAGUAUUCGGAACACCUUGUUCUUUUCACAGCGCCUAUCUUCUGGUCGCGCUUGUGAAACGUGUCAUGUUCAAUCUACACAUUCCUACAAAUUGUCAAGAUCUCCAUCGUCUGGUUCUCCGUCCUGCCAAUUCUUCGAUUCUCUGUUGAAUUGAAUUCUAAUGGACGAAUGUAUAGUUGACCUUCGAAAAUGGUUUCUUGAUUUUUGCCAGCGAGGAAGAAUUAGGUCGUUGUCUUUUUCACCAUAAUCUUAAUCACGACACCUGCUGUCAAUAUAUAUGACGAGAGUAAUCCAAACUUUGGGGCAAUAUAUCAGAUUGUCGAUGAAAGUUAUGAGUUGAAUGCUGCAUCUAGUUAACCUAAAUUCAUCUAAUCAUGGUUUGAAUAAUGUGACGACUCCUAACUAGAGGUGUCGAGACGGGUGAAUUUGGAGAUGGGUGAAUUUGACGGGUUUGAACGUGCUAUUAUUGGAUACCGGGAAUAAUUGAGUCAAUCCAAUUAUGUCAUUUUAAAUAAAUGAGUAUAGAUAUAUUUAAUUAUCCAUUUAUGAGUUUUUUUUUUUUGUUAAAAUUUUUUUUCACAUGUUAUUUGACAAGAAAUAACGACAUUUUAUUAUUAUUAGAUUGGUAAGAGAUUCAAAUUUAUUUGCUUUACACUUAAUCAAAAAUUGAGUUUAAAUAUAUAGUUAUUUUUGAAUUGGUAUAAAUGGAUGAGUCGAGUUGAUCCACUGCUCACCAAUUAAAUGCGCUUGACUGCAUACCCAUUUAAACUCAUUCAAAAUAAAUGGGCAAGUUUGAACGGGUCAGUAUACUCCAAAUAGACAACUUAAUACAUUGAUGAUAUCUUCUAAAAUCAGUAAGGACUAAUUUUGGCAAGGUAGCAAAUUUUUUUGUCCAAUGACGGUGAUAACAUUAUAUUGACCCUUUAAUUAAGUUGCCCAUUUAAGUGUUUAAAAUACGCCUUAAAAUGCCCGCACAAUCGAUUUUGGGCCUGCGCUUGAUAUAAUCACCAUUUGUUGCGCCACGCGCGAGAAAAGUAGACUCCUGCUGUCAUCUGGUGCAUCCCCGUUUUGCUUAAUCACACAAAUUGUUUGGGGAAAGCCCAAUUAUUUAGUGGGAUAUGGAGAAACUUAUAUUAAAAAAAUUUAUUUUACAAUAAAGUGAAGUCAAGUCAGGGAAAAUUUAUUAUUCUUUUCAUAUUUGCUUGGUUAGCAUUGAUUCACAUAAAACCGACAGUGAUCAUAAUUUUUGUAAUUCUUAUAAAGGAUUUUAUUUAUGCACUAUUGAAAUCGUAGAAUUCAUUUUUCAGCAACUGGCGCGAUUGCAGGGGUCAAAAUACAAAAGUGUAAAAAGGAGGAAAAGCAAGAAGUCAAAGUUGAACUUUUCGCUCAGGAAAAGAAAAAGGGAGAGGCCACGUGAUCAUUAACUGAAUAAGAAGCUAGCUAAACAGGAUAAAUAAUUGCUGUUAUAAAAAUGCUAUCACCGUGACAAGAAAAAGGGGGAAUAAGAAGCUAAGCGCUGCUAAACUAUAGUAAUUGUUUAGACCCCAACAAAUAUUUCUUUUUCUGUUUUUUUUUUUUUUGAACUUUUCCCUCUAUAGAAGAAAAUGAGAAGACCCGAUCUCUGAUUUCAAUUAUCAUUAUUUUGGAAGAAUGGGGCGACAUCUGUAGGGCAGGAUAUAUCAAAUCAUCACUUGAUCACCAUCAAGAAAACGUCCAAACAGACGCCAAUUUUGUUAAAGGGCAAAUUUUCUUCUUUUCUUUUUCAAUAAAAAGUUAAAAAACUGCGAGGUUGUUUAGAUUACAUUUCUUCGAAGAGGUUUUAGGAAAAAUUACUGUAACAUUUUUUUGGAAUGUGAUACAUGCGAAACAAAAAUGCGGUUAAAAAAUAACUUAAACUUUUUUAUUUUUUGAAGUUUUAAAUUAUUAUUUUGCAUUAAUCUUUAGAGCUCUUAAUAGUCAAGAAAAAGUUAAAACGGUUUAGAAUCUACUUAACCUAUAGUUGAUUUUUUAUUUUUUUGGAAAAGUGCUUUCUAUAAUUAUUUGAUGCUACCAAUUAUCUUUUUUCGGAGAAUGACAGUUGUUGUAUUACAUUAUUGAAGAAAAAGAAUAGUAAUAUAUGCUGAUUAUUGACAAGGCCAAGAUUAAUCAGAGUAUAAUCAAAUUGAAUUGAAUUCGAAUUCAAAUAAUCUACUAUUCGAACUUGAUUCAAGUUAAAAAAAUUAAAAGUCAUUUUAUAUAAGGAGUAAACUAGACAUUUUAUACUAAAAAGUAAAAAAAAAAUAUAUGUAUGUAUAAAACUCAAUCAAAUUAGACGAUCUUUCGAAUUUCAUGUAUUAGAUAACUCGAAUUUCGAGUUUUCUUCCCUAGCCAAGCAAGAAUGCAGUUUACCGACCCGCUGGCAGGUCUGCUGCUGGUGCUGGCUGUUACCGGCUGGCAAGAUUCCUCUUCCCGCCACGUGUCAUUCUGCCCUCCGUUUGGGGCCACUAGGUCCCACACCCCGGUCAUCCCACAGAGUACGCAGUAAAAAAUAUGACAGCUCUCAGCUAACCUUGGCCCCCAUUUUAUUUUAACUAGUUAUUUUAACGCUCCUUCUUCAAAAAUUAGUUUUUUUUCCUAAAAAUAGUCCAAAAAGUCCUUGGUUUUUCCCAUCUCGUCCUCCUGCCCCUCUCCUGAUCCCGCCAAUCAAUCCGCCGAUAUUUUACCCCGAAGAUCAUCUCGUUGUAUUUAUUUAUUUAAUUUCGCUUUUAUUUCCUCUGCUUUACGUACAACUACUAUCUUUUGGUUCCGUUACAGUCUGAUGCAUUCAUUACCCUCGGAUUGAUCUCGUGAUCAGCGCCGACAAUUUCAAGGUACUUUCUCUCUCUUCUCUUCUCUUCUCUUCAGUUGGAAUUUUCCUCCUACUCCUAAACCAAGGGUUCUUUUGGCUGCCAUCUUUCCGAUGUUAGAUUGUUUAUUUUUGCUAUUGCCGACGCAGGUUGAUGUUAUUGACCAAUUGAUUACCUACAGAAAUUGAUAGACUCGGCUCGGCUCGGCUUGGCUUAGCUGAGGUCGUCUUCAUUCUCCCGAUUUCCGUCACCGAUGUCGGGACCACUGGAUAGAUUUGCUAGACCUUGUAAGUGGAAUUGUACUACUGUUUCUUCUCCAUUUUUUGUUUAGGGUUUGAGCCGCAGUUUUGUCUCUGGACUCUGAUUAAGUUGGCUUUUGAUUUUUACUGCUUUCUGCGGUUUUAUCAUCCGAUAGCUAUGGUUUGAGCUUCUUGUUUUGAGAUUUCACUUGAUCAUCAGUUGCCCUUUUAAGUUUCAUUACAUUGAUCCCCAACCAACAGGAAAUUUGGGGGGUGUGGUUGUUAAAAAAAGGAUAGAGAGAGAACCGAAGUAGGAGAACAAAUUAUCAUGGAUUGCUGUUUGUAGAGCAUGCAUUUUCUGGCUAAGUCUUGGUAUGCUAAGGUGUCAAAGCUUUGGGACUUUUAGCCCAAUUGCACAUUUCCCGCUUUUACACACCCGCUUAUAUCUGAAUUUAUCUGAAUUUCGGGCGUUGUGAAUACUUCGUUACAUUCUUUUUUUUUGGUUUUCUCUGAUCCACUGUGGCGUCAUUUAAAAUAUUAGAGAAACUAAGUUGGGUAGAGCAUUACUUUUAUGAGAUUUUUCGCAUGGAAAUGCUUUAUUUUUUUCUCAAGUAUUAGGGAAUCUAAGUUGGGUGGAGCUUUAUUUGUAUGACUUUUAGCAUGGUUAUAUCAGCUUUUGCUAUUGCUACAUGACAGGCUUUGAGGGUUCCUCUGGAAAUGAUGAGAGAAGAGAGAGAAAAUCUGACUUUGAGAAUUCUGAGGAUGAGAGGAGGACAAGAAUUGGUUCUUUGAAAAAGAAAGCUCUGAAUGCAUCGUCAAAGUUCAAGCAUUCCUUGAAGAAGAAGAGCAGUAGGAGAAAGAGUGAUGGUAGAGUCAGCUCUGUCUCAAUUGAGGAUAUUCGAGAUGCGGCAGAGCUACAAGCUGUUGAUGCAUUCCGGCAGGCACUGCUUUUGGAUGAAUUAUUACCAGAAAAAUUUGACGAUUAUCAUAUGAUGUUGAGGUUAAUAUCCCUUUACAAUUUUUGAAUUAGGUUCUAUUUAUUUUUACAUGGAGAACUACUAUGUCAAUACGAGCAACCACUACAGCUGUAGUGAAUAAUCUAUUAGGGACAGUAUGGGCAAAUGGCAUUGUGAAGACCUACUUAUGUUUUCAUAUGGAUGGGAUCUCAGUACUUAUGGGGUCUUAUGGUGGGUUUACUCAGGAUCUUUAGUUACUGUUUUAUAGCUGCCAUACUGUUUUGUACAUUAUCUAAGGCCUUUGUACCUUUACAUGGUUGAUCUAGUACAUGCAUGAAAGUCUUGUUUCCCACAGUGUUUCAACUUCUUAAAGGCUCUAGAAAUUCCAUGUAGAUUCUUGAAAGCGAGGAAUUUUGAUUUCAAGAAAGCAAAGCAAAUGUGGGCUGAUAUGAUUCAAUGGAGGAAGGAUUUUGGUACUGACACAAUUAUGGAGGUAAAGAACCCAAUAAAUUUCUAUUCUGGUUAUAGAUGUUUUUGUAAGCGGGAAUGUGGUUUUUAUUGCGUUUUCUCCUUCAGUAUUAUUUCUAAUGUUCGGGUUCAAUGUUUUCAUUAGGAUUUUGAAUUUGAAGAGCUGAAUGAAGUUUUGAACUAUUACCCUCAUGGUUAUCAUGGUGUGGAUAAGGAGGGAAGACCUGUAUACAUUGAAAGGUUAGGGAAAGUGGAACCUAACAAAGUUAUGCAGGUUACAACAAUGGAUCGUUACAUAAAAUACCAUGUCCGAGAAUUUGAGAAAUGCUUUGCUAUUAAGUUUGCAGCUUGCACAAUUGCUGCAAAGAGGCACAUUGAUUCAAGCACAACAAUCUUGGAUGUUCAGGGCAUUGUAUGUUAGCUUCUCUUUAGUUUAUCCGACUAAUUGUUUGAGGUGGCUUUGAAUACUGUCUGGCAUGGUGUGAAUACCUCUUAUUAUUCAUUAUUAUCACAUCAGGGUUUAAAGAAUUUUACAAAGGCUGCAAGGGAUCUCGUCUUACGGUUGCAGAAGAUUGAUGCUGACAAUUAUCCUGAAGUAGUUUUCUUGCCUUAAUUAGCUAUUCCUGUAUCAGCCUUUUGCUUUAUCCUGGGAAUUCAUAUACAUACAUGUGCUGUUGAAUUUUUGUAGACUCUCCAUCAAAUGUUCAUCAUCAACGCGGGUGGUGGAUUCAGGUUGCUCUGGAAUACGGUUAAAUCCUUUCUAGAUCCCAAGACAACUUCGAAGAUACAUGUAUGUUUGUUUUCUUAGUUCUGUUCAGAGGUGUUGUUUUCCGUGUUGCAAAGCUGAGCUUUUAGCUAAUACUGGUUUUAUCUUUUUAACUUGGAAUUCUCAAUAGGUUCUUGGAACCAAGUAUCAGAACAAGUUACUUGAAGUAAUAGAUGCCAGGUGAAUGAUGUGGAAUUCAUUUUUAGCGGAUUUUUUGGGGGGGGGGGGAAGAUAUUUAGAGAUGCUAUUUUCUAAAUUACAGUGAGGUACUAAUGUAAAACUAUAUUGGUUUUGUGCAGCGAGUUACCAGAAUUCUUGGGUGGCAGCUGCACUUGUGCUGACGCUGGAGGCUGCAUGCGCUCUGAUAAAGGGCCAUGGAAGAAUCCGGAAAUUCUUAAGGUCUUGCUAGUUUUUUUAAGCUUUUCUUCGAUUUCCUCAUACGUGAAGUGGAUACACGUGGUUGUGGGGAUGUAAAUUGAUGUUACAUUAUGUGCUUCUGCUUCAUUUGUCUUACUCAAUGAAUGAGAAUUGUCUUGUUUGUUGCUGAUGCAGAUGGUUCUUAGUGGCGAAACACGGCGUGCGAGGCAGGUUGUCAAAGUUCUGAAUAGUGAGGGCAAGGUGGUUUAUGCCAAGCCUCGCUACUCAAUGGUAUGCCCUUGAAACCCAUUUUGCACUUGUUGAGGCAGCAACCUAUUUGUCAUAGUGGGUUUGGGUAACUUUGUGCGUGUAUAUUGUUAUUGAACCAGCUUAGAGGCAGUGACACAUCUACUGCAGAGUCAGGAUCUGAAGCUGAAGAUAUUGCUUCACCCAAAGCUACGAGGAGUUAUUCUCAUCUGCGCCUGACUCCUGUUCGGGAAGAGGUAUGUAGUAAUUUUGUUGUUAUGUUACGCUAUUAGGUUGGAAUAUCUGGGACCUACGUGAUUGCAAAUCCUCGUAUGACUUUCUUCACCACAAAUUGGUCAUGCAUUUGACUUGACACUCAAAAUUUAUGGUGGAUGUAAUAAGUUGGUUGGCAUCAAAUUAAAACUCAUUGAUCACAUUUGUUGUCUAUGUUUAAUCAUAACACUUUUCUGUUCACGCCAUGUUCCUGAAACAGGCCAAGUGUAUUGGAACAUCAAGCUAUGUCCAUAAUCUCUCAGGAUAUGAUGAAUAUGUUCCCAUGGUAGAUAAGGCUGUUGACUUUGGAUGGAAGAAGCAAGCACCUGUUCAGAAGCCAUAUGCUUCCCAAGGUUUAUACAUGAUUUGUACCUAGUUAAUUUUUUCCAUUUGGCUGCAUAUAUGUUGUGUAUUGAUCCAUAUAUUGCUACUUGAAUAUUUUCCAUGCGUCUGUCUUUGAUCUUGUGUAAAUUUAUUCUGAUAUUGCUGUCCUUUUAUCAUCAUUCUCUAUCUCACUGUUUUUAAUUUAGGGCUGCUCCCUCCUCCUGAAACUCCAAAGAUGCCAGAAGGACUCCGUGCCCGCAUUAUAGCGGCUCUUAUGGCUUUCUUUAUGACCCUCUUCAUGCUUUUGCGUUCAGUAACAGCCCGUGCAACUAAGAAACUUCCUGAUUCUACAUUUAAACAAACUCAAACAUUUCAAGAAUUUUCCCCGGGUGACAUUUCCAAGGAGGAUUUUAGACCCCCUUCGCCAACUCCUGCAUUCACAGAGGCCGAGCUCCUAUCUUCUGUUGUUAAAAGAUUGGGUGAGCUGGAGGAAAAAGUCAGCACACUUCAAGCAAAGCCAACUGAGAUGCCUUAUGAAAAAGAAGAAUUGCUUAAUGCUGCUGUUUGUCGAGUAGAUGCCCUAGAGGCAGAGUUAAUUGCAACUAAAAAGGUAUCUAUAUGGUUUUUAUGUUACUAUACCGAGAUGCUACAUAACUCACUUGAUGUUCAAAUUGUAUGGAUGUACCCAUUCAAUCACACAAAUUUUUUUUUUAUCCAAUCCAAAUAGCCUUUGUGCCAUAAUUUCAUGCUUCUACUUCCAGUCCCUGAAUUAUGCAUGCCAAACGACUAAUUUUAUGUCUCAACUUUGAUUGCCAAUGUUGCUUCCAUAAAUACAACUUUAUUGGGUCUUUGUUGCUGUCGUAAAUUGUGGGAAUGAUAUGAAUAAUCAGCUCCAAUGCUUCUGUGACAAACAAUUGGCAGUCUAAUGCUUGCACUAUUUAUGAUUGGAAGGUUGCGACUCUUCUGGGGGUGAUUCUUCUAUAUCUACUAUUGAAAGAAAGGCCAAUUUGGGCCAACUAAGUCAUAGGAGGAAAAUUACUUGUAAUGAACUCAUGAUUGUAGAAUAGUUGUGAGAUGCCUGUUGUUGUUGAUUUUUAUUUAUUUAUUUGGAAAUCCUUCUUCUCGUUAAUUGCCAUUCAUAAAUAAUAAUAAUCAUACCCUGAUAUUACCUUUUUGUUGCACAUCAAGGCCACAGCUCAGACUCAUAUAUGUUGUCCCUUCAGGACUUUUAAAUACAGUUCUUGUUUUUUGCAAAUCCUUGUCGUGUAUUGUCUUCAAAGUUGUGGGUGCAAUUUCCUUUGCCUUCUUAGCAUACAUUACGGUAUGCUUGGAAAUAGCUUCGAAUAUGCAGCCGCUAUGUAUUUUCACUUUUUUGUUUUCGUCUUGUGGUUUUCCAUUCAUAAGUUGCAUUCGUUCAAUAAACCAGGCUCUGCAUGAAGCUUUGAUGAGGCAAGAAGAGCUGCUUGCAUACAUUGACAGUCAAGCGGAGGCCAAGUUUCAGGCAAGUUGAUCACAUCUUCCCUGUUUUUUCUAGACGCUAUUUUACUUAUAUGAUUAUGGCUUUGAAAUCUUGGGAAACAUAGAAGUGCAUAGGUUCCCCAUAGACUCUGUGAUGUAUAUGCUUUCAAUUUUUAUGUGUUUUUGAGUUGUGAUUGCAUGGUUUUUUUUUUUUAGCUUCACAAGUUUCUGUGCUGAUUUUUGGUGUUUGUCUGUUUUCCUGUUUUUCAUGCAGAAAAAGAAGUCUUGCUGGUGAGCUAUGGUGAACCAUGAUUAUGGGCUUCAGGUUGCAGGGCUGGUACCUGUUUGUUUUUCUGUGAGUGUGUUUUCAUACGAGCACCUUCAUUGUGAGGCUGUGUUUUCAUAUGAGCACCUUCAUUGUGAGGCGGUGAUUUCAUAUGAAAUGGUGUUUCAAUUGAGAAAAUGUACACUUUUUGCUGAGAGAUCCUAUUUAAUGUUUUAUACAUGUUCAGAUGUUCUCUUAUGUUUCAAGUGUGUUGGUUUCCUUUUACCCCUUUGAAAUGUGUGUACAUUUUUUUUUUGGUCAAAAAAUGUGUGUGUACAUGAAUGACCCCAUCUAUGACACACUUAAUGUAAGUCGACUGUUCUUAUAAGUAAAUUUGGACUUUUUUUGGUUUUGUAAAAUAAUAAAAAUUUAGAAAAUAGAAAGAUCUGAGAUAUUGUUAAAAAUUGGUUUACUUAUGGGACGUCAACCGUUCAGACUACAAUCACUGGCCGGUGCAAAGUAAUGGUUGUCCAGGAGCACUGGAAGCUUACAUGCGUGUCACGCCUCUCUUCUGUUGGGUGAAUUUCAAGACUAGUGUUUCCAUAGCUACAUAAACAAAAGCCAGCAGAAUCCUCCUAACAUAUGAAAAUUAUAUGCGUAAAGGUCUACGCUGGAAGCGUAUGCAGUUAUUAAACAGGAACAGAAUUCCUUGUGUAUGUGCGAUUGAAUAAUAUAUAUAAAUGUGUGUAAUAUACAGAAAGCUCUGAUCCAAGAAUUUGACAAAGCAAACAUUGUUAUGGAGCACAACACUCGACACCCUUUUUGAGUCUUACCAGAAAGAUUAGAAGAGAAAAAAAAAAUCACUAUAUCCUUCUUCCUAUACAAAGUUCAUGGUUCCAGGCUUAGAAACCAAAAAACUUCUUCUUCUUCUUCUUCUUCUCAAUGUAGGCUAGGAGUUCUUGCUGUUGGAGAAGAGCCUCAUCAAGUGCCUGCAAAUGGAAGAGAAGUAUAUGUGGUGGUUAGGAGACGUUUAUCACAGCUUAUUUAUUUGGCUUUGUUACCACACCACCCGACUAUUCCUAUAUGGUAGGGCCAACAGCUAACGAGCAGUACCUUUUUGGCUGAUGCAAGCUCUUGCUCCAAGGCGUCAACUCGACUCAAGGCAUUGUUGAGUUCUUCCUCUUUCUCAGGUGGCAUGGUCUGGGAUUUAUUCCCGAGAACGGACAUCUUGUCCUCCAGCUCAGCCAUGCGCUUCAUCAUGGUGAAGUAAUCAGCGCUGGAGAUGGCCGGCGCCGGGAGUUCAUAAGCGUGGCCUUUAACCAUAGCUUCAACACCGUACAUGGAGCCAUUAGAGUAGAAGGUUGCAUCUGUCAUCUUCCUUGGCAUGUUGCGCGUCAUGCGCACCAUGGUGACGAUGCCCAUAACGAAGGUCAUUACCCCAGUGAAAACCUGGUUGCUGAAUCCAUCAUUGCCCUUGCAAGCAUCAUGAUGAUGCACUGGGUAAUAAUCCGCGGCUUUUACAUGGAUAAAAACACAGAUUAACCAAAUUAUUCAGAUCCGGAUCAAACAAUCUACAUUUACGCGUGUGAGAAAAAUAAAAGAGCAAAGCAUCAGUUGGUGAUCGAGCGAGCACCUUUUGAAAGGGCAAAGUCGUCUAUUUUCGAUAUUUUAUGCCAAGUCGUAUCAACAGUUUUCUCCAUUACUGGAAUGCAUCUUUCGGGCUCAGUGACGGGGCGGCACUUGCUUGCAACCUCCAAAAAAAUUAAAAAAAAAAAAGGAAAAACUACCCAGUCAGUAAUUUCUCCCAAGCAGUCAGUCAGUCAUGGUGAAAGUUCCAACUCGUUUGGACGCAGUCAAUUUAAUUACACCAGGAUGGGGCUUGCAUGGUUAGUUUCAAGUUCUGACCAUCAAAUAAAACGAAACUACGCAAGGCAAAUGUACCUCCUCCUGAACGGCGGAGAGUUGCGAGUGUGUCCUUUGGACCCUGGGAGAUUCUAGUUUGAAGGAAUGGUUCUUCUUCGCGUUCACAACAUAAUAAGAGGACAGAACAAGUAUAUUCAGCAUUGCAUUCAAAGGAAUGAAAUAGUUAUCAGCUUCAAAGCAAUGACUCACAACUCAAAACCCGAUGAGGCAAAUUUUACCCAAAAAGAAAAUGUGGGGUGUAUGAAAGAACCAAGGCCAUCAAUGAUCAAACCAGAUUAAAUGGAAUGGUAGGCGUUGUGUACCUUGGAGUUGGCAUUCUCGUCCUCUGAAAUUGUUUUCUCGUCAACAUUUGGGAUGAUGAUUUUGUUUGAGCAUUUGUGCUCACCAUUGCGAACCAUCUGGUCAAUUUUGUAUAUCAUAAGCCUUCAGUGUUCUCGUUGAUAAAUCAAUGUUCAGAUGUAAAUUCAGAAAGCUUUCAACUCAUGAACCAACCUUCAUAACAUCUGCGUCGUUCCAUGGGCCUUUGUCAGAAAGCAUGCAUCCACCCUUAUCAGCACAGGUGCAUGUACCACCCAAGAAUUCAGGUAGCUCACUGAUGCAAGAUUUAGGAAGAUAAAAAGUAGUGUCAAGUAAAGUUGUGUAGAAUUGAUGCCAGCCCAGUGAGAAUUGAAAAGCUGAGAGCUAGGCUUCACAUCUAUUAACUAAAGCUUACCUGGCAUCAAUUACUUCAAGGAGUUUGCUCUGGAAUUUGUUGCCUAGAACCUGGAGAUGGUGAAAAUUAUGUUUCGUUUUCAGUAGGUGAGAAUAAAUAGUAAUGCUUUGAGGUAGCUGAUGGUAUGUAUGAGCUUACAUGGAUCUUUGCGGUGGUCUUGGGGUCAAGGAAUGAUUUGACAGUGUUCCACAAAAGCCUAAAUCCGGAGCCAGCAUUGACGAUGUACAUGCGACACAACGUCUGUAUUGAACAAAGAACAUUUUAGAAGAGCAAAACAAACUUCAGAGCUAUCCCUAGUAGAAAAACAGGACCAAAAACAAUUGACUGUGACUGGAGCAAAACAGACGGGAGUUAGUACCUCUGGGUAGUUGUCACCAUCAAUCUUCUGGAGACGUUGAAUAAGCUCCCUUGCAGACUUGUUGAAGUUUUUCAGUCCCUGAGCCAGUCAUAGUUGUCAUUAGCUCUAUACCAGCUCCAUUUAUUGUCCUUGUCUAAGCGAAAUUCUUGACAGCAAGAAUCAUUUUUUGGUACAUAAAUCCAGAAGAACUCGACUUACCACUCCUUGCACAUCCAGAAUGGUAGUACUCUGGUCAAUGUGCUUCUUGGCUGCAAUAGAGCAGGCUGGGAACUUAUCAGCAAAGGUCCUUUCAAACUCCUGGACAUGAUACUUAACAUAGCGGUCCAUAGUCGUGACUUGCAUGAGCUUGACAGCAUCAACCUGUCCAAGUCUUUCAAUAUAAACAGGUCUCCCAUCCUUGUCAACCCCAUGAUGCCCGUGUGGAUAGUACUUGAGCACCUCAUUCUUUUCCUUGAACUCAAAGUCCUAAACAAAGGGUUGUCAGUUAUGUACUUAGAUAUGCUCACUCAGUUAAUCCUAAACAUAAGAUGUUGCACUCGGGAAUGACAAAUACCUCCAUGAUUGUGUCUGCACCAAAGUCCUUCCUCCACUGGAUCAUAUCAGCCCACAUUUGCUUUGUUUUCUCAAUGUCAAAUUUCCUGGCCCUCAAAAAUCUGGAUAUAACAGUGGAACCUAUUAGGCCUAUGGUUUUCAUUUUUGCCCAAAUUAUAGGUAUAAUCUAAUUUUUUUUAUGUCUAUAUUUAUCAACUGUACUAUUUCUUCAACUUGGAAUAAAUAGUUGGAUUAGACAUCCAAUCCAUCUUGAAACCAGCUACACUUUUGCCUACUUUAACAACAAGAAAUGGUACAAACAUUAUUCUGAGAAUAGGAUAAGAAUAAACCUCAGCAACAUGUGAUAAUCAUCAUGUUUUGAAGGGAGCAGCUCUUCCAGGAUAAGUGCUUGACGCAAGGCAUCCACAGCUUUUAGUUCCUCUGCAUCAUGCUCAUCCUCGAACACAACAGACAUGACUCUGCUGUUUCUUCUCCCCUUUUUGGUCAAGGAGUGCCUGAACUUGGUAGAGGCACUAAUUGCUGCCUUCUUGAGAGACCCAAGCCUUGUCUUCCUCUCAUCAUCAGCAUUUUCAAGGUCAAUCUUUUCCAUGCCUGUCAAUGUAGUUGGCAGGAGGAGCUCUCAAACACAUUGUUUUCAUGAUAAACAAAUAAAAAUUCUAUCUCAACAUAAAAGAACAUUAAAAAAGACUUAAAGGCUUAAACCUGUGCAGCUUAAACCUGUGCAGCUUCUUUAAACUCAAGGCACCAUAUCUCAAGCUUUUGAGCUUUUUUAUCUUCUACCAAAAUCAGAACUUACAGUAAAAUCUAUUUCCUCUUUGGGGGGCCGGGGGGAAGUGAAAAGAAAAAAAAAAACAAAAGAUUUGUUGGUGACUGUGAAUAAGUGGAAUUAAAGCUGCAAGCUUUUCUGUGUUUUCUCAUUCUUGUUAACUCCUAGUGCUAAAAAGAAAAGGGAAAUAUCAGAUCAUGAAUAUAGCUAGGAAAUGAGACAGGAAUACAACUUACUUGGCCUGUAAGGUCGUUCAAUUGGUCCAGACAUCGCGUCACUCAUGAUCAAAGUUUGGUAGUUUGAUCUCUUGAGGUGCAAAGGGGGCUUUCACAAUGUCUGAAAUUACGCACUUGCAGGUUCCCUACACGUUUUACAACGAAAUUAGUCGGGGACUAAAAAAGAUAUCCAGCUCAAAAUAGUCUUCUCCUUUUCCAUCUUCCGAUGUAACCGGAAUUCAUUCAUCAGAUGAACUCAUAAUAAUCACGAUUUUGGAAAUCAUCACGCAUCAUAAUGCGUCCAAAAGUUUCAACUCCAUAAGCAUACAUGAUCUUAAUUCAUACACAUUACUUGACACAUGAUACAUGACCUGUGAGUUUCGCUCAAAAAAGGGUCCGCUGAAAGAGCAGAAACUCAAUGAAUUUCGAUCACUAUAUAUCAUGUUGGUGUUGUCAUUUCUUUUAAAACCAUGAAUAGAUAGGUCUUUAGUGGACAAAUGAGGAAACAUGGUAACAGAAAAUCAGAUAUUCUUUUAAAGAAAAGAGCGAAAAGUCAGUCAAUCAUCCCCUGCAAAGGGUUGGUGUCCAAACCCAAAAUGCCUCUAAAUAUAAAAUUGCAAGUAAAAGUACAACACCACUAUCAUUGCCAUCAUCAUCACCGUUCAAAGAAGCAAGAAACAAGAAAACCAUACAAAGGGAUGUCAUGUAAGAAGAACGAUGGAGAAGUAGAAUUGCAAUCAUUUAAUCUCCGAAGCUAAGCUAAUGAGAAGGAGAUAGAGAGAGGAGAGGAGAGGAGAGAUGUAGAUUACCAGUGACAAACAAAAUGCUGGACUUUUUGGGAGGAAGGGCGGGGAAGGAUAUUUAAUCACAGAAUUAAACUCACAAAUUGCGGUGGCAAAGAGACAGCCAAUGGACAAUACUCAUCUAACGAGAAAUUAUUCAACUUUUAAGAGAGAAAAACAUGGAGGGGGAGAGAGAAAUUGGAGAUGAUUGUUUUUGACAAGGUCACAUGUUCGUCCAUACACGACCUGUCCGUCUGCAAUAUUCUCCUAUUCUUACCGUCGCCAUUAGGCGGUAGUAUUUCGUAUUGGAAAAAUGUUUGGUCAUUAAUUAAGGAUCAUGUUUUGAUGUUUCGCCCACACACACACAGAGUACGCCAAGUGUAAGGCCGCUCCGUUCGAUUUGGAUUUGCAUUUCCAUUUGCAGGCCAUUUUUCCUUGUCAAUGCACGUAACUAAUUUAACUAACCUCUCUUUUCGCUUCAUUUUUUUUUUUUUUAAAAAAAAAGGUAAAAUUCUGGUUCCCGCCCCGCCCAGGUUUACAUUUACUUUUACUGGAAAAACUAGAAAUCGCUUAUUUAGAAAUCUGACAUUAAUUACAAUUGGCUUAUAUAUAAUUACGACAUCCCUUUUGGCAGAAAACGCAAAUUCAUAAAUCACCGUCAACAGGAAACAAAGAGACAUUCAUACUUUUACAGAGUUAACAUAUAUAUGAUACGUAAUAUACAUGGGAGGGCACGUGAAAACGAUGAUGGUAACGACUAAUAAUUGAGUAAAACAUAGUAAUUACUUACCUAAAACUAGUCCGUGAAAGAGUUGGUGUCAACAUAAAUAUUACCAUCAAACUUGAAGAAAACAUGUUAGCAUUUUUUUUUUUAUGUAAAUCAAUACCUACCUACAGCUGAAGUGUCCAUUUCCCAUAUAAAAUCUCAAAACUCAUUACAAUGUCGUGGUGCUCCACUAAGUUUCUUUUCCUUAGUUUCAAUUGCAAUUCAUUCCCGGAGGAGGAAUCGUUCAUAUGUCCUCCAUGUAUAUGUGUAUAUCUGGAUUCUGGUCAACUAAGCCAAUACCCGCCAAAAAAAUUCAAGGGUUUUAAUUUCUUAUCUUCUUUUAUUUUUAGGUAAAUCUUUUGCUGUUCUAGCGAUUAAAGUAGACAUACAUUGAUUGCCCCAAAAAAAAAAAGCAAAAGGAAAGGGAAAAUGGAGAAGAAAUAGUCAUAUAUUGACUCCAUUGUCCAUAAAAUACACCAACAUAUAAACAACUUGCUCGAAAUUUCUAAACUUGGUCAAGACGCGAGAGAUUAUAGAUGACUCCACUUGCUGUCUGCUAACAAUAAAAUAUUUCCAAAACAGAAAAAUGAUAAAUCACCUCUGAAUAGUUCAACUACUUAGCUAGGCCCAAAUUUUUCCUGCUCCAGCUAACACAAAAGCCUUCCAACGGGUAAUUGCCACUAAACCCCAUUUGGCAAAUGAUGUCUCAAUAGGCCAAGCGGAUACUAGAGUAGGGAUGUAAACUAGUCUAGUCGAGUUGAAUUUUGAUUCAAUCGAACCGAGUCUCGACUCAGUUUUAUCAAACUCGUACUCGAGUUCAACUCAAAUUCGAGUCGAGUCAAGCUCGAAAAAAUAAGAAAAAUAAUUAUUUUUAUUUUUUAAAAAAUAAAUAAAAUAAUAUUUUUCUUACUAAAUAAUAAAAUAUUAGAGAUGUAUCUGUAAUUUUACUAUUAAAAUAAAUAAAUAUAUAUAUAUAUAUAUUCGAGCUCGCGAGUCAGAAUUGAUAUUUUGAGCUCGAGCUUGAACUCGAGUUUGCAGCCCUAUUCCAGAGUUGAACUCUUAAGUAUAUUGCCAUAGAAGUAUCCUUUUUUCUUUUUUCUGUUUUAAGCGACAAAGAUCCUGUUAAUUAGUAUAUACUACUAAUAAUUAAUUAUUAUAAGUAAAAGUGCAAUGUAUGAAUUGAUAAAAGUACAAACAUAUCGGUUCAUUAUCUUGGGAUUAUGAUCUCAAGAAUUAAGAUUAAUGGCCCUAAACUCUACAUCAUUGAUGAACUGCUAUUUUUUCUCCAUUUAAUUUGCACAAAAUAACUGACAUAAAUACUUCAUAAUAAAUGGCUAUAUUAACUUGAUAAUUAGAAUAGAAUGACAUCCAAUAAUGGAUCUAUAUUAUGUUCAAGAAACAAAAAAGUGAUAUUUUCAAGAAAAGCAAGUCUCGUGUUCCACAUAAGAUACUUUUCCUUAUCUUGCUUGCACUAAAAUGAGCAUUCUUUUCUUACUUAAUUGUAUAGUUAUUUAAUAUCUUAUUGUUUAUUGAAAACUUAACUAAAGCAGUAAUUAAUUUGUAAAAUCUUGCUCUUUUUUUUGGUCGCCAAAAAUAUCUCAUAAUAAAGUCCACAAUAAGCUAGAAAAUGGUUUUUUGGAGAAGACACCAUUUGCAGACAAUUAUUGACCCAAUUCCUACAAAAAAUAAUUAGGGGCAAAAAAA